UGGACCAAGGCCUUUUUUUAGAUAAUGACUUCUUGACAAUAUUUAUCAUUUCAUAAAUAUUAUCAAGGGGUCAAAAAAUUCGAAGAAGAAACGAGGGAAAAAGACUGACGAGAAAGGAAUUGCAUAUAUUUUUAUCAAUAUCUUUACUUUUUAGUAUGUAAUCCUCUAAGAAUCAAGCUAUUUGAUGGUCAUAGUAAAUACUCUGUAGUCCCACUCUUAAUAGAGCAUGUCCCAUAUUUAGUGUUUGUCUAGACUAAUCUAUCUUCCGUUAAUUGAGAAUUUAAAGGAAUAACAAUAAUUUCCAUAGUUCAUCAUAUAGUUCCCUUGAUGUGCUUCUAAAAGGUCUCAUCUAUUCUAUCAUUCGCCUAUUGCAUAUCAAGUUUCGACAUAACUGGCAACUUCUUAUUGCUUGCAAUCACUCUUAGAGGGCAACAUCUCCUAAACAAUGAGUAUAUUGUCUUGAAUUUGACAGCUAAUGACAAAAGCAUUUUGUUCUAUGUAGAUAAUAUCCAAAAUUAAUGAUUUUAAUCUAUUGGUCAUAACUUUGGAUAUAAUUUUGUAGACAAAAUUACACAGGCUAAUGGGACGAAACUAUUUUAGCUUUUCUAGGUAUGGUUUUUUUGGGAAUAAGUAUAAUUUAGGUUUUAUCAACUUUAGCAUUUAAGCAUCCAAUGUUCUAAAAGGAAGUUACUUCUUGAAAAACAUCAUGUCGAAUGUCCUCCUAGUGGUGUUUGAAAAAAUGUCCACUUAAACCAUCGGGAUUGGGGGCUUUGAGAGCUCCUAACUAGUGUACGGUUUCUGAAAUUUCUAGUAUGGUGAUCUUAGCUAUCAACUUUCAAUCCAUAUCUUCCAACACUAAAGUUGGAAUAUAUUCAAUAACUGGUUGGAAAUUUCUUUGUCUUGAUGACACAUAUAAACUCUUAAGGUAUUCCACCAUCAUUUGCUUUAGAGCACUCGGUUCACGCAUCCACUCCCCAUUAGUAUUAGCAGCAUAGAGAUUCUAUUUCUUACCUCUUUUGAAUAGUUGUUGCAUGAAAAAUUUUGGAGUUUUCAUUCCCCAUUUCAACCAACUAAUUCUAGAACACAUGUCCCAAAAAAAUUUCUUCACUUUUCCACAGUGAGCCAAUUUCCUUUUUUCAAACUCAAUAUCUUUUCUUUACUUUGGGAAAUAUCUGGGCUGUUUGUUAUAUUUUUUAUUUCCUGCUUUAGCGUCUCAAUUCUCCUAUGAGCGCUUUGAGAAUUUUUUCCUACUCCAAGAUGCAAGGGCUUAGGUCACUUUUCACAAUUUAGUUAUUAAAUCGGCUCCUUCUUGCUUGGGAGAUAACCAAACCCCAUUGACAAUAUUUCCAUACUCGUUAUCCUCUAAGCACUAUAUUUCAAAUCUGAAUUCUUUUGCCUUUUUCAUUGGUUGUGGGAAUAAUCUUAGCAAGUAGGACUAUGGUCUGACCAACUGCAAAUAAAGCAAAGACUUCCAUGUCUGGAAAAGCACUAUCCAUUCAAUCAUUCAUAAGACUCUAUCUAGUUUCUUUUUGACAGUCCUUGGGCUUCGUGGUCUUUUGCUUUUGGAUUCUUUAAUUGGCACUAAGUUGAAAUCAUAGUUCUUGAAUUCAAACAUCCACUUCUUUGGGCCUUGCAAACUGGACCAGGCCCUUCCAAUCAUGACCACAUUGGUGGAGCCUUGUUUAUCAUUUUCUCUUUUUUUUUUCUUAUAAAUUCAUUUUAAUAUACAAGGGUCUAUGCUUGAUUUGUCAACUAAAACUUAUGUGUCAAUAUUGACAUGGACAAAUUUUUAUUUUUUAUUUUUAUUUUUUCUUCACAUGGCCAACAAGACUGUUGACCUUUGGUAGAGGCAAUGGCCAACGAACCCCUCGCCAAGGGUGAGUAAGGGUUCGUUAUUUUACAAAAAUAAUAUUUACUAUAUACCAAAAUCAAGACUAGGUCAAACUUAAACAUGAAUGUUCCAUAUGAUAUUGAACUUUAACUGACAAUACUCAAUUCGAUAGUCUUAUAAGUCUAAUUGAGUUUUUCUUUUUAUAAAUUAGUUAGAUGAAAUUUCAAGCCCAAUCUAUUUAAUUGAAUCUAGGUGCAACUUUUGAAUACUUUGAUUUUCUUUAGUUGAGUUCAAGCAAGAAAUUCAAUACUUGAUCAAGCUAAGCUUGAGUGAAGUUUCAAGCAAUCAAACAUGUGAGUCGAGCAUGACAUUGCAUCAGCUCGUCUCAAUGUGAUUAUCCUUCUAUCUCGAGGACUAGGCCUAGGAUGUCAGCACUUAGACUUGAUACCUCAAAGGUGGAUUGACUUUUUCUUUUUGUAAAUUAUUUAAUACUUCUAGAUAAGAUUCCCUUGUGUAUGAAAUUUCAAGCUUUGAUCCAUUUAUACUUCAACAUAAUCAAAUUGAAUUCAAGUGAAACUUUUGAAUACUUCGAUUUUCCUUUCCAGUUGAAUUCAAGCACGAAAUUCAAUACUCGAUCAAGCUAAACUCGAGUGAAGUUUCAAGCGGUCAAACAUGUGAGUUGAGCUUGACUUUGCAUGAGCUCAUCUCAUUGCGAUUAUCCUUCUAUCUCGAGGACUAGGCCUAGGACAUUAGCGCUUAGACUUGAAACCUCAAAGGUCGAUUGUGUUAAGAUAUGAAAUCUUUUUGAAAUCUUUUUGAUAUCUUUUCGUAUUUCAUGUUAGCAUACCGGCUGUAUCAACUGUAGUUGACAUUCCAUCUGAAUGUCAACUACAGUUGGUACAGCCGGUAUGCUAACAUGAAAAAUUUCAUAUCUUAACACAAUCCACCCAUCUUUCAUAUUAGCAUACCAACCGAAGAUGAGUUGGCAUUUCAUGAUUCUUCCAUGAUCUACGGUUGGUAUGCUAAUAUAAAAUAUAAAAAGAUAUCAAAAAGAUUUCAUAUCUUAACAGGUUGUGCAAGAUCAUGGAAGAAUCAUGGAAUGCCAACUUAUUUACGGUUGGUAUGCUAAUACAAAAUACAAAAAGAUAUCAAAAAGAUUUUAUAUCUUGCGCAUCCUUGCGCGUGGACUGAGAGACACCAGGCGAACAGGUUAUCACGUGGGCCAGUGGCACCUUUUGUCUUCGAGGCCUCGGCCGAUUCUUCAUCGUUCCAGAUUCUUUGGUCGAUUGCCACGUGUUCUGGUGGAUCCGACGCUUCAGAAACUUCCGUUCUUUCUGCUUCCCUGGCUUCCUCUCCUCUAUAUUUUCUCCUCUCCUUUCUCCCUCUUCUCACUUUCUUCUUUCUCCUCCUCCAUACUUCUUCAAAACAAGAGUCAACUCAGAACCGCCUGGCAGCCACAAUCCAAGAUCUCUCUCUUCUCGCCCUCGACACCGUCAGGGCCGUUCGAUCCAUCGUCGUUACGGAUGAGCUUCAUUUACUUUUGCACAUCUAUUGUUUUCCGCCGAUCCCAAUGUCGAUCUCGUCCUCCACAUCCUCGCCGCCACGCCUUCCUUCCUCGUCAAGCAGCAUAUUUAUCUGAAAUCGAAAGCUGAAAACGUUUUCACCAACCAAAUGGCCCUGAGUCUGGUUCAAUAUUUUCCUGCGAAUGUGACAGGCUAAGAGCGCUUGUUUCUUUGAAGCGAGCGAGAGCGAGAGCCAAAGCAAAGGGAAGAGAUCGUUGACUUAGCUUCCGAUCGGGGAAGGCAAACCCGGGUCAGAGGCCGCCGAGCAUCUUUGAGAGCAAAGCCCACUCUGCUUCAGCUUUAAGCCCUUGAUUUUCUUAGCAGGACUCUCUCUCUCUCUCUCUCUCUCUCUCUCUCUUCCGAAGCUUGGCAUUCUAGAGUAGCACGUAUACCAUCAGCUCUUCUAAUGGCUGCUUCUUCGGAUGUGAAAAGGAAUUACCAUGUGUUCCUCAGUUUCAGAGGGACAGAUGUCCGCCACGGCUUCCUCAGUCAUCUCUAUGUGGCUCUGGACCAGAAAGGAAUAUACACUUUUGUGGAUAGCGAGGAGCUUAGGAAAGGAGAGGAAAUAUCGCCGACGCUCGUGAGGGUGAUCGAGGAAUCGCACAUCGCAAUCAUUGUCUUCUCUGAGAACUACGCCUCCUCACCGUGGUGUUUGGAAGAGCUCUUGAAAAUCAUGGAGUGCAAGGAGCAAAAUAACCUAAUGGUGUUCCCCGUGUUUUACAAAGUGGAACCGAGAGAAGUGAGAGGGGGGAGAGAGAGUUAUAAGAGAGCUAUGGACAACCAUGAGUCCAAGUUCGGGAAAGAGAAAGUGAAGAGAUGGAAGAAGGCUCUCUCUGAAGCCGGUAGCUUGUCUGGGUGGGAGUUGAAUGACAGGUACGCACAAAUGUGACAUGGUGUUAUGUCAUUGUUAGUUUGUGAUUGUCUGUUAGAUAUCAGAGUUCGAAGAUACAAAGUGGAGAUAAAUUAGACGGUGGACACAAAAGUCAAAUAACCAAAGCUAGUAGAUUUUUUGAAUUGAUUCUUGCUGUGUGGAUAAUGAGAUAUUUAUGUAACAUGUGUGAUUCAUAGUGCCCGAGUCAUUAUUGUCUUCAGAUUCAGGUUCUUUGUAAUUUUCCUUGCAUAGAUGUUGGCGCAGGUUCACCCACCUUUCAUCUUAUAUUGUGCUAAUCUUAUUAUGGAAUUUUACUUAUUUGAGAUGCUAAAACCUGUUUUUAUUUCUCUUGAAUGCUUAUCAGAAGUGAAGCGGAGCUCAUACAAUGCAUAUUAAAGGAAUUAUCAAUUCAUCUCAACCGAACGCCUUUACAUGUCGCUAAUUAUCCAGUCGGAGCAGAUUCCCAAGUUCAACAAAUUUUAUCGUUGUCAAAGAAAGAGUCAGAUGAUGAUGAUGUUCUCAUGAUAGGUUUAUGGGGGCCUGGAGGCAUAGGGAAGACAACAAUUGCCAAGGCCUUAUAUAAUGCUAUGGAGAGACAAUUUCAAGGUUGUAGUUUUUUGGAGCAAGUUAGAGAAAAAUCAAACCGAAGCGAUGGUCUUGCUACUUUACAAAAGGAUCUUCUAUCUGAGAUCCUGGUUCAUCCUUUAACGGUCUACAGUGUUGCUGGAGGAACUAGUUUGAUACAAGAAAGACUAUGUUGCAAGAAGGUUCUCCUGGUUCUUGAUGAUGUUGACCAUAUGAAUCAACUGAAUGCAUUAGCUGGAAAAGGCAAUUGGUUUGGAAAAGGAAGCAGAAUCAUUGUUACAACAAGAGAUAAACAAUUGCUGACUUCUCAUGACAUAAAUUGUGUGUAUGAAAUUCAAACUUUAGGAUACCAUGAAGCACAAGAUCUUUUUAGUCUGUGUGCUUUCCCAAAUAGCAAGAGUGUUGAAAUAAGAAGCGAUCUCAUAGAUAAAGCACUGCAUUAUGCCGACGGACUUCCAUUAGUCCUGGAAGUGUUGGGCUCAUUCUUACGUGGAAGAAAGGAACAUGCAUGGGAAAGUACAUUGCAUAAACUCGCCAAAACUCCUGAACCAACUAUCAAUCAAGUUCUCAAGAUAAGCUUCGAUGGAUUGGACGACAACGAGAAGGAGAUUUUCCUCGAUAUUGCUUGUUUCUUUAAGAGAAAAGAAAUGCAACACAUCGAGGAAGUUCUUGACAGCUGCGGUUUCAACACAACCAUAGGAAUGGAAAUUCUCAUCGAGAGGUCCUUGAUAAAAAAUGACAGGGGUUACCUUCAAAUGCAUGAUUUGGUUCAGUUGAUGGGUAUGAAUAUUGUUAAACAAGAAUCUCGUGAUGAUCCUGGGAAGUGUAGCAGAUUAUGGCUUUUGGAAGAUGUUGAGGACAUUUUUUAUCAUAAUACGAUAAAAGUUGUUUAUGUCAGUUUUGCUACAUUUCAGUUUAUAUUACUCUAAUUUGGACAGUAUAAUGUAAAUCUUAAAUGGAAAUUUUGUCUGACAACUGAAUUUGCUGUGUUAUGGAUAGGAGGCGGAUGCAGUAAAGGCCAUAGUACUGGAUUUGUCCCUACCAGAAGCGAUAAUCAUCAGUCCUGAUGCUUUCACAAAUAUGAAAAAGUUGAGAAUACUCAUUUUGCAUGGAGUGCAUAUCUCUUCACAAGCUCAAAUACGUCUCCCUAAUGAGCUAAGAUGGCUUGAAUGGCCCAAUGCCCCGAAUCUAGAAUUUGUCUCUAGUCCAAAUAAACUCAUGACACUCGAUGUCCCGUCAAGUCAUAUCAGGCAAUUAGGGGGCAACUCUCAGGUAAGCCCUUGUGAUGAUUAGUUUUUCCUUUUUAUAGCUAUAAAAAACAUUUGUAGAGCUUAAUGGCCGCACUAGUAUGUUUUUGCAGAAUUUUAGAAAGCUGAAGUCCAUCGAUUUCAGUGGAUGCAAGUCCUUGGUUAGUAUUCCCGACCUGUCAUCGGCUCCAAAUAUGGAGGAAUUGACUAUUGGUGGGUGUGAGAGCUUGGUGGAGGUUCACCCAUCCGUCGGAGAUCUUGUCAAGUUGAAAGUUUUGUCGGUAAUAUGUUGCUCUAAUCUUAUAAAUUUUCCUAACACGCUAAGGACUAAAUCUCUUCAAAUCCUUCAUCUCUUUCGUUGCUAUAAACUUGAGAAGUUCCCAGAUAUAGACGGAAAGAUGGAACAUUUGAAAGAACUUCGUCUAUUUGAUACGGCUAUUAAAGAACUCCCUUCAUCAAUUGAAAAUCUUGUCUCUGUGAAGUUGAUAGAUUUAUCAUAUUGCGAAAACCUCAUGAGGCUUCCGUCGCAAAUUUGUGAGUUGAAAAAUCUCGAGCACUUUUUAUCUUAUGGGCUGCUCGAAUUUAAUCACGUUUCCAAAAAACAUGGAGGAUUCAACUAAUCUCGAUGGCCGUCGGGGAUUCCGAAGACUAAUGCUCCUGACACUUCAAUGGUGCAAUCUAUCAGAAGUAGAGUUCCUUGAGAGUUUCUCCAGUUUUCCCGAAUUGCGGUCUCUAGAACUUGACUAUAACAAGUUUGCUGAUUUGCCAAGAUGCAUAAACAAGUACUAUCGUUUGAACUUCUUGGGUGUUAAAAGAUGCGAGCUACUACAAGAGAUUCCUCAGCUUCCACCAAAUGUCUCUACACUAUCAGCAGAUGGUUGCAAAUCUCUGCAAAAACUCCCAGACUUGGGUCAACUCUCCCACAUCAAACUGGUUCGCUUGUCUUCAUGUUGUGAAUUAUUCCGCAAAGGGGUCGAUAUGGAUGAUGUGGCUACAGCGUCAUUACUCGAGGUCUCUCUCUGUGUAUAUAUGUAUAUGUAUAUGUAUAUGUAUAUGUAUAUGUAUAUAACUUCAAAUGCUUGACAUGCGUACUUUCCAUGUGACAGAAACUGCCAAAGAUGAUAGGUCACGUCGACAUUUGCCUAAUUGGAAGAGAGAUGCCUAAAUGGAUUCUUCCCAGCGAAGAGGAUUCCAUAUCUUUCAUGAUUCCCCAGGAGUUGUACGGCGAGUUCAAAGGAGUAGCACUCUGUUUUGUUCUUGGUGCGGAGGAAGGAAAAGUGGUCAAUGCUACAUGUAUGGUCAGAACAUAUGUUAAUGGCUGGCCAGUGGGUGAAUGUUCGCAAAGUUUUUAUGAAAUGGAAACUGACCAUGUGUGGUUUCAUUAUUAUCCACAUUUUUUUCCACAUCUGCCAAAUGAUUGGAGCCAUUAUCAAGUUGGCCUCUGGGAAAACAAUCCAAGCAUAAAGAAGUGUGGAAUCCGUCCAAUAUGCAAUCAAAAGGACGAUGUUCUGAGGAUGGUGAUCCCAGCACCAUCAGCCGAUGGAAACAAAUUGGAGUUUUCAAUAGACUGCAUAAACGCAGAUGAUACAGAUAAAUUGUAUGCAGAGGCAAGCAAAAUACCUAUACCAAGAAGAAGAAGAGGGUCUUAACUACGGUGAGACUUUGAGUUCCAUUGUCUUUGCUUUUCCCUUUUCUGGGCCUUCACUAGAGAUUUGCAAGUGCCUGCUCCUUCAAUUAGAAUUCAAGAUCAUUAUCAAACAGGGGUUUCGCAUGAUUGAGGAACUUUUUUUUUUUUUUUUUUUUCCAUUGCUUCUCUAUGAUUUGUGAUCCAGAGUGUAUUAAACCAAAAAUUAAGAGGAUGCUUGUUAAAAUGGCCAUAGUCUUCCAAGUUGCUCCAUGUAAUUUAUCACAUAGGUCUCUCUCGCCUCUCUUAAUCCAAUUAAUGAUGUCAAUAUUUUGUACUUUAAAAUUCCGAGAUAGUAAGUUUUGCUCACUCUAGUAUAAUCUGUAUUAUAGUAAGUUUUGCUCAAUCUAGUAUAAUCUGUAUCUUUAGGAAAGUGUCAUUUGAAUUGUCUAAAAGAUCAAGAGGUCUACAGAGGGAAAAUUAGUUGAUUCCUCUGUUGUUGGUCGGCAGAUUGCAUUGGAUAGGUAUAAAGGGAUAGCGCUGGCUUCUAAGAAACUUUGCAUUUUGGCAAAGGAGGUUGACUUCAAGGAUUUUCAUAAAGCAAAUAGUACGUGGCAACCUUCUAAAAUAAGUAUUGCAAAGCAAUUUUUAGAAUGAGAAAAAAGAUUAAAAAGAGAGGACGAAGGAACUUGCAGGUACAUGUGAAAGCACAAGUGAGUGGCACAGCAGUAGGACCAAUGCCGACGUCGUGCGACCCUAGGCAACAUGCUGCUGAGGUCAACCAAACCUAGGGGACGCGACACCAGCGUUGUUUGACCCUAGGCGACACAACACUGAACGCCAAUGUCCCAUGACCUCAGUGGUGGAAUGUCGGAGCCAUAGGACUAGGCAAUGCGAAGCUCAACCUCCGCGAGCUAAAUCUAGCAUCAAGCAACCCUUGCAAAGCUUCUCGGAAUCAUGCAGCCCUCAACGAAGCUUUGCCGGUGUCCGUUAACCCAGCCUCCUUCAUGAAGCUUCCUAGCCAUGACCAACCAUGGCUUUCUCUGUCCUGUCCUAACCGAGGUUGAGGGACAAAACAUUAUUACAAAUAUAUUAAUGAUGGUAAGAUUGUAAGGAAAAAAAAAUUCAUUAAACUCCCGAACUUGCAUUCGGAAAAUACUAAAGCUCAAAGGUGAGACUUGCCUCGAGCUUCAAGCAUUUCAAAGUAGAACUUUUUGCUAGUCUUUGAAAUUGUGUUACCAAAUAUCAAAACUAAUUUUAAGAACUUUUCAAAGCCCAAAACAGCUUAAUUCAAGAUGACAGAGUACCCCAAUUUUUAAAGGCCAAAUUGGAUGGUAUUGAAAGGAGGGCAAAAUUGGAAUAGUGUAUCACUUUAGGGGUCCUUGUGAGUCAAAAAAUAAUUUUGAGUAAAUUAUUUAAGGGUGCCAAUUUAAGAUUUUCCGUGAAGUUAAUCUAAAUAAUAUCUAUGUAUUAUUUUGUUAUUCUUUUUUACAUUUUGAAGAGUUGAGUUUGAUUCAGUUGACAAGUGAAAUGCCAAGUAACAUGUUAAUAAUUUCCACCAAGAAUAUUAGUAAGUUCAUACUAGGAUUGUCUUUAUAUUCUUCAUUGGCUUACACCAAAGUUCAUUCUCUUCUCACUUUCUACUAUUAGUCACCCUUCAUCUAAGUCCAGUUGGCUUGAUAUCAUCUAUUUGAAAUGCAAAAUUCAAUAAACUAGAAAUGUUGUUGCCCAUCACUUUCUAAAGCCAAAUGUAAGAUUAUGAUAACCUCCAAAAAGGUGACCCAAUCACAUUAUUAGAGAAUACGAGAUAUCAAAUGCUCGUUACUAAACUAUUAAUUACAAUCAUUAAGGUUCGGAAUCAUGUACACCGAUAAUAUAUCUUUUCAACUCGAAUUAAAUCUACCACCCACGAUCAGAUUCCAAAAUUAUAGCAUCACCCCCUCCUUCUUGUCCUCCUUUUCCUCUCUCUCUAGAUAAAAAUAUGGAGAAGAGCUAUCAACACCAACGACCCUUUUUGAAAUGUACCAACCCAUUAAGAGUAUAUACUUCAUUUCACAUCUUAUUAUAAUUGGAGAAAUACUGCCUAUGGGAAACGAUUAAUACUCCUGGAAGUAAUAUGCCGAUUCUAUUUAGACAUCAAGUCAUCCCGUGUGAUGAACCUUUCCUAAUUCUUAUGAUUUAUAAUGUAUUAACAACGUUCAAGAGCAAAAUCAAAUGGAUGACUCCAACCUUUGCAAAGUAUGCAACCCAAAAUGUCAAGAAGCACGAAGCGAUGUUGGGCUACUACUCGAGCAAAAUCUUGGGCUGACCAGAAUUGAAACAGUCCCAGGUGAACUCCACCAAAUGGGCAACCAAGACUAAAAUGAUGGGCCGAUUGAAGAAUGGGCCAUCUUCAUACCUCAUAUCUAGAAUAAAUCGACAUUGGGUUGUCGACCUUCACAAGAUUAGAGAUCAUAUCAUCUCAUCAAUCAUAAAAUCCAUCCCCCAACUCCUCUCAAUUAAAAAUAAUGCGAUUGUUACUUACUAGUGGAAUCGAUGUUAAGAGAUUACUUGACCAAUUGAGAGCCAUCCAAUUCAACAUUUGAAUUAAAAACGAGAAAGAGCAACCAAAAAAAAAAAAAAAUCCUUCACAACACUUUCAAAGCAAUACUAAACUUUAUUUGAGGAAACUAUGAGAAAAUGACACCUGACUACUGCUGAAAAACCUAUUUAAAAUUAAUUUUUUGGGAAUAUCUUGGCCCAAAAAAUCCUUCUUAUAUUAAUUAACCUCCAUUUACUUGUAAAUUUUUUAUUGAAGAAAAAUGUCAAAAGUAGAGCGAUCUUGAUCUCGAAGCUCGCAUCAGCAAUAGCCACAUGGACGACUUCAAGCAUCCUCAAUUAUGUUAGGAUGGACCAGGCCUUGUUUGAGAAAAUGAAUUCAUGACAAUGUUUGUCAUUCCAUAAAUAUCGUCAAGGGGUCCAAACGAUCAAAAAAGUGGGGGAAAUUGAAAAAAAAAAAAAAGGAAGGGAAUUGCCUAUAUUUUCACUUUUGAUAUUUGCAAUUAGCUCCUAUAUUUUUAGUAUUUUAGUAUAUAAUCCUCUAAGUUAGUUUGUUUUUUCAUUGGUAAAUCUUUUUAUUAGAUUUAACAAGCUUAAUUCUCCAAAAUUUUGUUCCAUAACCAAUCUUCGACGAGCAUAGACAAAUUUUCACGACUAUCCAACGAAGCAGCAUCGACAAUUCCUACCAAAAAUGAGUGGACGCAAAAAUAAAUUGGCCAGAGCUAGGAAGAGAGCAAGAUCAAGCGGGAUAGAAUUAUCCUAAUGUUAUUGAUUUUUUUUUCACCUAAAAGAUAUUUUUAUUUUCUUCUUUGAUUUUGUGCUAAGUAAUUUAAUGGUCAAAUUUCACGUGUAAUUGACUUUUCUUUUCUCUUUUUUUAUCCAAUCAGUGUUCUCUCCGUGGCCGUUGAAUUCGGUUUAUUGUAAAAAAAAAAGCGGCACUUGAUUUCAACCGUCGAGUUGUCUCUGGAAAAAAAAAAAAAGGAAAAUGAUUAAAUCGUCUGACUACACGAGCCGUCCGAUUGUGUAUAUUUACAAGUGUAACCUUGGCUCUCCUGGAAAAGAGGGGAUUGUCGGAUUUUUCUUAAUUUUUGGUGUCCGUCGUCUCUCAAUUUUCCGAGCGCCUUAACCUAUUGAAAUGAAAUGUCUAUCAAAAAAAAAAAAAAAACCUGUUGAAAUGUAUUCAAGUUUUAAAUUUUAGUUUUCUAAUAUUACUUAAUGUACAAAAAAUGUUAACAUGUGGCAUUCUUUCUUCCUAUUUAGUGAGGUUAAAAAAAUAUUAUGCAAAAUAGAGUUUAUUAAUGCACGCCCAUAAUUCAUGGGUUUGUUAUUCUAUCACUACACUAAAUCCAGCCACAAAAUAAAAUUUAUUUUAAGUUAUUAAUGUCUGCUCACUUCAAGUAAUUUUACAAUGUUUUAUACCAAAUGAAGUAACUUUAGUAUGCUAAAAUGUCUCUUUAGUCUUUACCUACAAGGUUUACACUGGUUUCAUGUACAUUUAUUCUCUAUUAUAUUAUUUGUUUUUGGGGUUAGACAUUUUAACAUAUCACAAAGUCAAGUUCUAAACCAGUUUUAUUUUUUUCCACUCCUCGUUCGUUAAUUCCACAUCUUGUUCUCACGUUAAUUUUACACGCUAAUAAGCUUAUUAAAGAAUUACAUAUCACUUGUCUACGAAAUUUAUACGAGCCUUAUCAUCUCCCUAUGGAUCGCAAACAACAACAAAAAUAUAAUUUACUCCUUCAAGUGAAUGAUUACAGAAUACCAAUUGCUAAAAUUAAAAUGUCGAAGUUCACUGUAUGUGUCUUAAUUUUUUAAAUAACGAGUGAUUGACUUACACUUUACAAAAUGAACGUGAUGCAUUUUUACAUGUAAAAAAGAAAAAGUUUAACCUAGCUACGAAAGUGAGAUGAAAAAGAAAAUCAAAAUAAAUUGUUUAUCAAGCUCCUUUUGUUUUUUUUUUUUAGUUUAAAGUCUAAGUCUAGGUGGCAAGUACGCAAAGAUUGACAGGGUUGCGUUCUUUUAAAAUAAUAGUCCAGGAGGUACUUUGAGUAAUUAAAUGAUUAAUUCACACAACUGAUUUAGUAUUUGUUACAAAGUCACCGUUGACAAAAAAUUUUAGCGGUCAUGCCCAUUAUUGGCUUAUUGAUGAGGUCUUGUUGCUCAUGGAUAAGAUGAUUUGCAUGCAUUAAUAAGAUUUAGUCAAGUGAUGAUUCGUAUUCACUCUUGAAAAAAAUUAUACCGUAGAAAUAAUCUUAUUUAUUGUUAAAAAAAAAAUAAAAUUCCUGGAUGGGGGAGAGGGCUCUGUCGGCCCAACCUUCAAUGGCAAGUGGCCAACACGUGUAAAGAAAUGGGGUUGGAAAGAAAAACAAGAAAAAACUGCAAACGAAAGGCUGCAGUGCAAAUCCUACACGUUGUGAAAUAAAUUGUACGAAUGUGGGACAUGUACCGAUUCCCACCUUUUUAACGUGGUUUUACGUUACGGUUANNNNNNNNNNNNNNNNNNNNNNNNNNNNNNNNNNNNNNNNNNNNNNNNNNNNNNNNNNNNNNNNNNNNNNNNNNNNNNNNNNNNNNNNNNNNNNNNNNNNNNNNNNNNNNNNNNNNNNNNNNNNNNNNNNNNNNNNNNUAUAAUGGAAGGAAAAUAAAAAAAAAGUGACAUUCACACUUUUUUUUUUUUGGUACCCAGGGAACCUCCGUGUGCCGCUUCACAGCGGAGUAAACCCUGAGGUGACCUGGGCCCCCACCGCUGACCCAGAACCAUAGGUAAAUCGCACGUUAGCACUGAAGCAACGCGACCACGAAGUUUCGAACUCCUCCCCCAGCGGAUAGGGUACUAAGCACGAAGCCAACGCGGCCACCGCGGGCGGUGGUGACAUUCACACUUUUAUAUAUGGCAAUAUGCCAAUUGGAAAGAAGGUUUUUCAAUUUAUAAUAAGGAUUAAUUAGACAAUGCACAAACGAGUUCGGGUGAAACUUAAACAUGAAUGUAGCACACAAUAUUAAGCUCAAACUUGCUAAUACCCAAUUUGAUAGUCUCACAAGCCCAAUUAGGCUUAACUUACUUUUUGUCCAUUAUUUAAUAUAGUUAAGUGGAGUAAGUCAAAUUUGAAUAGUCCAAUUUUCUUUUUCAAGUUGAGUUUGAAUAAGAACUUUAGGCUUCGUUCAUUUUACGGAAAAUAACUUCUCGGAAAACGUUUUCCAAAAUAUAUUAAUAUAUACAUGUAUAUAUAGUGUUAAGACGUUUUUGUAUUUAAUUGCAAUGACACAUAAUAAUCUUAUACAAUACAUUUUAAUUAUCGUAGAAGUGCUCCUAAGAUACAAGUUUAUCAUAGAAGCAAAAUAAAAAAGUGACAUUCACACUUUUAUAUAUGGCAACUUGCCAAUUGGAUAGAAGGUUUUUCAAUUUAUAAUAAGGAUUAAUUAGACAAUGCAUAAACGAGUUCGAGUAAAACUUAAACAUGAACGUAGCACACAAUAUCAAGCUCAAACUCGCUAAUACCCAAUUUGAUAGUUUCCGGAGCCCAAUCAGGCUUAACUUACUUUUUGUCCAUUAUUUAAUAUAGUCAAGUGGAGUAAGUCAAAUUUGAAUAGUUUGAUUUUCUUUUUCAAGUUGAGUUUGAAAGAAUUUUAGGCUUUGUUCGUUUUACGGAAAAUAAUUUCGGGAAAAAUGUUUUCUGAAUUUUUCGGUAUUUGUUUCACAAAAAAUGAAUUGCUUAAGGAAAACAUUUUCCAUGAAGGGAAGAGAGUUUUCUAAACUAGGGGAAAAUGUUUUCCUCUUUUGAAAAGUGAAAAAUAUUUUCUUCAUUUGAUCUCUUUUAACUCACAUAUCUAUAGGCCUUCACUUCUUCCUCCUCUUCCUCCUUCUUUUUUAGUUUCCUUCUAAUUUGAAUUAUUUUUAAUUUUCUUUGUUUUCCCUCUUCUUCUUUAUUUUAAUAUUUUAAUUUUUUCUUUUUUUUCUUUUUUUAAAUUGAUUUUUUAAUUCCUUUUCUUUUUCUUCCCUUUUCUUUUUCUUCUUCCUUGGCCAAUCGCCGACCACGGCGGCGACCAAUAACCGGCCAUAGGCUAACUCCAGCCUCGCCCAAGGCCAGAUCUGGCGAGGGCAAGGCUCGAGGUCACUGAAUCUAGUGAGUCGCAAGCUCGCCAACCUUGGUGGAACUCAUCGGAUAGGGCGAGCCACAAGCUCGCAGCCCUUGAUGGAACUUGGGCUUGCUUGGAUUAGGUCAGCGAGCUUGUGGCUCGGCCAGUCUAGGAGAGCCCAAGCUCCGUUGAGGUUGAUAAGCUUGAGGCUUAGCCAAUCCAGGCAAGUCAUGUUCAUUGGUUGGCAAACUCGGGGAUCAUUUGGGCCUCGAGCUCGCUGAAUCUGGCGAUUGUGUCUUGGUCGACCACCAAGUAGCUGGCCACAUCGAGGCACACAGAGGUGGAGGAAGGAGGAGGAAGAAGGAGGGAGAAAAAGAAAAAAAGAGAAAGAAAAAUUAAAAAUAAUAAAAAAUAUAUUUUUAAAAAAUAAAAUAAUUAAAAAUUUAAUUUUUUAAAAAAAUAUGUAAAAAUUAAAAUUUAAUUUUUUUGGUCAAUUAAAAAUAUUUUUAAAAAUUAGUAAUUUUUUUUAAAAAAAAUCAAAUCAGAUAACGAACCAUAGAUAAUAUAUUUCACUCAAAUAUUAGGUUUCAACCAAAUACCAAAAAAUAUUGUUAUUUUCUUGGAAAAUGACUUUCUAAAAAAUAUUUUCCAAAAACGUGAUAUUGUUUGCGAAAUAAACAAACCCUUAAUACUUGAUUCAAUUCAAGUGAAGGUUUAAGCAUCAAGUUGUAUUAGCUCAACUCAAUUUGGAUUAUAUCUCCACAUUGAGACGAGAGACACCAGCUAAACAAGUUAUAGCAUGGGCCACCUAAGACCCUACCUUAAAAUGACGCGUCCGAUUACUCGAUCUCUUCCUAUAAAUUUCCGAUUGGAAAAAAAUUCAUUGGAUUACACGAAAAUGCGCACGAUGAUUUUCUGUUAGUGGCUUUGAUAAAUUGAUAGUACCUAUCCCCGGUUCCCGUACGAAGAAGGAAAAUAAAAAACAAAGUCGUUGCUCUCCCUGAUGGUGCGAGUGUCUUGGCUCACCGAGGGCACAAGUGUAAUUGCACGAGCGCCUAGCUUGGUCGGCUCAGGAUUUCGGCCUCUCGUGUAGGCCCCCUCCCCCAGAGACGAAUCACGGCCGUCGAUCAUACCCGGUCCGUGUGUCGGCACAUAGUGACCCGACACACGUGCGGAGUCUCAUUUACGUGCUUUCCCUCCCACCAGGCAACGACCCAUCCCUGUCUCUGUUGGACCUAGGGGUGAGCAUGGUCCGGGUUGGUCCGGGCCACCCCCUAACUCGAGAACCAACCCGUACAGUGUCGGUCCUCAAUUUUUAGGACCGAGGACCGACCCUAUUGAGCCUGGGACCAAGGACCGAACCGACCCAAUGGGUUCGGUCCAGUUCCAGGGUCAACCCGGGACCGAUCGAUAAUUUUUUUCGUCUUAUUUUUUAUACUUCCUAAAAAAGCAAACCUACAAAUUCAAAUUACACAUCCAUCAACAAUACGGUAUUGUGCAACUAAACUAUAAUAUACCAAUACAUAUUUAGCAAAUUUAAGAUGACACAAUAAUAGAAAUUUCGUAUCCACUAAUCGCUCAUUGAGAUAUGGGACAAGAUGGAAAGUUCUUGUAAUCAUCUAUCUUUAAUAUUUAUAACACCAUAUGCAAAAGCGUUUUCCUGAUCAUGUAGAGUCUACUCAACCAGAAAAUGAGCUUUACAUCACUUGACUAGCAUUUGAUCAUGUAAAGUCUACUUAACCAAAAAAUGAGCUUCACACCACUUGACUAGCAUUUGAUCAUGUAGAGUCUACUUAACCAAAAAAUGAGCUUCACACCACUUGAUUAGCAAAUCAUCAUAGCAACUGCAGUACUACUCUACUCUUCAAAAACUUCUACCAUUUGACACAAAUUGAAAAGCAAAAUGCAGCUGAAAUUCAUUAGUAAAAUACAAUUAAAUCAUAAAAAGUUCAAAAUACUUAAUAUAAACCAUGAAUAUAUAACUUCACAUCUUGUUAAUUCACUUGAACUUCUAAACACUUGAAAACAAAACAAACGACACAUAAUUAAUACUUAAAAAAAGUUUUAAAUUGAAAUUACUAUUAGUGUUAUUGAUAGAACAUCUCAAUAUAAUAUAAUAUAAUAGACAUUUUACUUGGGUUUGAAUAUAUAAAAGAAUUAUAAAUAAUAUAAUACAAUAUACAGGGUUGGUCCAGGGUUGGACCGACCCAAAACUCUUAAGACCGAGGACCAACCCGCACAGUGUUGGUCCUGGAAUUUCAGGACCAAGGACCGACCCAGUCCCCUUGGGAACCGGACCAGGACUGGCAGGGUUGGGCUGGUCCAGGGUCGGUCUAAGGUCGACCCUAAACCGCUGCUCGCCCCUAGUUGGACCCCACUACAUAUCCCCAUCCCUGGGCCAUGGCCCCCACCAUACGCUUAUCCCGAAUCUAAUCUCAGCCCGUUUCCAAUUUGUUAUUAAAAAGAAAUUGAGCAUAAAUGAAAAUAAAAAGGGAAAAUGACACUGCGGUUUCUGAAAUUUAGCCCAACAAAUAAUGAUGUCCCUGAACUUUCAAUUUGUUCAAUAUGAUCCUUAAAAUUUAUAUGCAACCUAGUUCUAUACGAAAAUGUUCAAACUUGAAUUAUUGAGACGAUAGCUAGGGGUGAUUGAUUUCAGGGUAGGUAAGUUCUAAAGUUGGAAUAUGAAUUCUACCUUAUUAUAACCGGUUUCUAUUUUUUGGACCCUGGAACCUAUCAUGUUCUCUAUUUUUCCGAUCUAGUUCGAGGGUUCACUCGAGAAUUUGUUUUAUCUUUUUUUUUUUUCCUUUUUUUUUACUGCAAAAUCAUAUGGGAUUAUGAGUAACGAAAUGAUUUAAAGUAAAAGAUGAAUAACCAAAAUCCUAAUAUACCAAAAACAACAAUUUGAAUACAUAGUCAAGUACAAUUAUAAACAAUAAAAAAGUUCAAACGCGUAAUACAAAACAUAAAUUCCCCAUUCAUCCAUAAAAAUUAAAUGAAAAUGAAAGACUAGCAAAAAGUUUCUAAAAAGGACAAAAGACGAAAGGGUGCUCAGGUUAAAAUUUAGGAAUAAAAACAAUUAGAAUUUAAGCUUUUUAACUUAUAAAAUAGAUUCCAAAGUAGAGUGAAAUCGGUGGAUCUUUACUUGAAACCUAUUCCUAGAACUAUUUCAAGGAGAAUCGAUUCUUAGACAUAUUUUUUUCAAAAGUUGGAUCCAAUUUCUAAGUAGAAUCGGUUUAGUUGCACAGCCCUAAUAACAACAUUAAGCAUCUUCAUAUAACACAGGAACUAACUUGAAUAUGUACUAAAAUUUUAAGGAUCAUAUUAAAUAAAUUAAAAAUUCAAGGACUGCAUUAUAAAUUAAGUCAAAAUUCAAAGACUAUUUAUGUCAUUAUCCAAAAUUGAUAUCAAUAUCCAUUUAAAAAUUUUAAAAGAGCAAUUUGCUUUUAAGUUAGCAAUUUUUUUUAAUAUUAUCAAAGCACUAUUAAUAACCGGAAAGUCCGCCACCACAGAAACAUUAUCGCUAUCUCCCCCUAUCUUAAAGUCUCAAAGCUCAAAAGGAAAAAAAAUAUUAACAGCGCUCAGAGCUUCUCACUCGAUAAACCCUCGCGGCUGCUUUCGUCUUCCGAGUCCUUGGCCGAUUCAUCAUCGUUCCAGAUUCGUCGGUCGAUCACGUCGAUCUCGCCCUCCAAACCCUGAGAGCGCUUGUUUCUUUGAAGCGAGCGAGAGCCAGAGCCGGGGCAUAGGGAAGAGAUCCUCGACUUCACUGCCGAUCGGGGAAGGGCAACCCCAGGUCAGAGGCCGCCCAGCAUCUCCGAGAGCAAAGCCCACUCUGCUUCUGCUUUAAGCCCUUGAUUUUCUUAGCAAGAAUCUUUCUCUCUCUCUCUCUCUCUGUUCCGAAGCUUGGCAUUCUAGUGAAGCACAUGUACCAUCAGCUCUUCUAACGGUUGCUUCUUCGAAUAUGAAAAGGAAUUACCAUGUGUUCCUCAGUUUCAGAGGGACAGAUGUCCGCCAAGGCUUCCUCAGUCAUCUCUACGCGGCUCUGGACCAGAAAGGAAUAUAUACUUUUGUGGAUAGCGAGGAGCUUAGGAAAGGAGAGGAAAUAUCUCAUGAGGGCGAUUGAGGAAUCGCACGUUGCGAUCAUCGUUUUCUCUGAGCACUACGCUUCCUCACGGUGGUGUUUGGAAGAGCUCUUGAAAAUCAUGGAGUGCAAGGACAAAAAUGGCCUGAAGGUGUUCCCUGUGUUUUACAAGGUGGAACCCAGAGAAGUGAGAGAGGGGAGAGAGAGUUAUAAGAGAGCUAUGGAUAACCAUGAGUCCAAGUUCGGGAAGGAUUCAGAGAAAGUGAAGAGAUGGAAGAAGGCUCUCUCUGAAGCCAGUAGCUUGUCUGGGUGGGAGUUGACUGACAGGUACGCACAAAUGUGACAAUGGUGUUUUGUGAUUAUUAGCUCGUGAUUGUCUGCUAGAUAUCAGAUCAUAUGCACUUUUUUGGAUCUUCAAUUGAAGAUACAAAGUGGAGAUAAAUUAGACAGUAGACACAUGAUCAAAUAACCAAAGCUCGUAGAUUCUUUGAAUUGAUUCUUGCUGUGUGGAUAAUGAGAAAUUUAUCAAACAUAAAUAGUGCGAUUCAUAGUGCCUUAGUCAUUAUUGUCUUCAGAUUCAAGUUCUUUGUAAUUUUCCUCGCGUAGAUGUUGGCGCAGGUUCACCCACUUUUCAUCUUAUUAUUUACUAUUCUUCUUAUGAAAUUUUCCUUAUCACGUCGGAGGUUGAAUUCCUGCUAUGGCUUUGAAAUGCUAAAACGGGUUUUUUCUAUCUUUUGAGUACUUAUUAGAGAUGAAGCAGAUCUCAUACAAUGCAUCGCGAAGGAAUUAUCGAUUCGUCUCAACCAAACACCCUUACAUGUCGCUAAGUAUCCGGUUGGAAUAGAUUAUCAAGUUCAAAAACUGAUAUGUUUGUCACAGAAAGAGUCGACUGAUGAUGAUGUUCUGAUGAUAGGUCUAUGGGGACCUGGAGGCAUAGGGAAGACAGCAAUUGCCAAGGCCCUAUAUAAUGCUAUGAUGAGACAAUUUCGGGUUUGUAGUUUUUUGGAGCAAGUUAGAGAAAAAUCACACCAAAGCGGUGGUCUUGUUUCUUUACAAAAAGAUCUUCUAUCUGAGAUCCUCGUUCAUCCUUUAACGGUCUACAGUGUCGCUGGAGGAAUUAGUUUGAUACAAGAAAGACUAUGUUGCAAGAAGGUUCUCCUGGUUCUUGAUGAUGUUGACCAUAUGAAUCAACUGAAUGCAUUAGCUGGAAAAGGCAAUUGGUUUGGAAAAGGAAGUAUAAUCAUUGUUACAACAAGAAAUAAACAAUUGCUGACUUCUCAUGGCAUAAAUCGUGUGCAUAGAAUUCAAACUUUAGGAUGUUGUGAAGCACGAGACCUUUUUUGUCUGCAUGCUUUCCCAGACAAUGAGAGUGUUGAAGUAGGAGUGGAUCUCAUAGAUAGAGCACUGCAUUAUUGUGACGGCCUUCCGUUAGCCCUCGAAGUCUUGGGCUCAUUCUUAUGUGGAAGAAACGAAGCUGCAUGGGAAAGUGCAUUGCAUAAACUUUCCAAAAGUCCUGACCAAAUUAUUAAUCAAGUUCUCAAGACAAGCUUUGAUGGAUUGGAGAACAAUGAGAGGGAGAUUUUCCUCGAUAUUGCUUGUUUCUUUAAGGGAAAGGGAAUAGAAUACAUCAAGGAAGUUCUUGAUGACUCUGGUUUUAACACAACCAUAGGAAUAGAAAUUCUCAUCGAGAGGUCCUUGAUAAAAAAUGAGUAUGGAACCCUGCAAAUGCAUGAUUUGAUUCAGUUGAUGGGUAAGGAUAUUGUUAAUGAGGAAUGGCCUGAUAAUCCUGGGAAACGCAGCAGAUUAUGGCUUUUCGAAAAUGUUGAGGAAGUUCUCUAUGAAGAUACAGUAAAAGUUGUUCAUGUCCAUUUUGCAACAUCUCAGUUAUUUACUUUGCUCUGAUUUGGAUUGUAAUAUGUAAAUUUCAAUUGAAAAUUUUGUCUGACGAUUGAAUUUGCUCUGUUAUGGAUAGGUAAUGGAUGCAGUAAAGGCCAUAGUAUUGAACUUGGCCACACCAAAAGAGAUGACCAUUAGUCCUUGUGCUUUCAAAAAAAUGAAAAGGUUGAGAAUGCUCAUCUUGCACAAAGUGCAUAUCUCUUCACAAGGUCCUGUACGCCUCCCUAAUGCGCUAAGAUGGCUUGAAUGGCCCAAUGCCCUGCAUCUAGAAUUUGGCCCUGGUCCAAAGAAACUGGCAAGACUCCGUUUUCAGAACAGUCAUAUCAAACAAUUAGUAGGCAACUGUCAGGUAAGCCCUUAUGAUGAUCAGCUUUCCCUUUUCAAAGCUAUGAAAAUAUUUCAGAGCUUAAUGACUGCACCAGUAUGUUUUUGCAGAAUUUUAUAUGUUUGAAGUCCAUUGAGUUCCGGGAUUGCAAGUCCCUGGCUAGUAUUCCUGACAUUUCAUCGGCUCCACUUCUGGAGAGCUUAGAUCUUUUCAGUUGCAAAAGCUUGGUAGAGGUUCACCAAUCCGUCGGAGAUCUUGACAAGUUGAAACAUUUGAAUAUAUCAAGUUGCUCCAAUCUUCGGAUCUUUCCAAACACACUCAAGACAAAGUCUCUUCAAUGGCUUGAUUUCUCUGGUUGCUCUAAACUUGAGAAAUGCCCUGAUAUUCUGGAAAAGAUGGAACACCUAAUAUAUUUUUUUCUAAAAGGGACAGCUAUUAAAGAACUCCCUGCAUCAAUUGAAAAUCUCGUCUCUAUAGAGCAGAUAGAUUUAGGUUGUUGCAAUAACCUCACAAGGCUUCCAUCGAGCAUUCAUAAGUUGAAAAAUCUCANNNNNNNNNNNNNNNNNNNNNNNNNNNNNNNNNNNNNNNNNNNNNNNNNNNNNNNNNNNNNNNNNNNNNNNNNNNNNNNNNNNNNNNNNNNNNNNNNNNNUUGAUCCUGAUGACGAUUUGGGAUUCCCAAGUUUAAGGUGGCUAGACCUCUCUCACUGCAAUCUAUCAAAAGCAGAGUUUCUUGAGAAUGCUUCCAGUUGUCCUGUAUUGACGUGCCUAAAUCUUACAAAUAACAAAUUUACUCAUCUUCCUACAUGCAUCAACAAGUAUGAUUAUUGGAAAGACUUGUUUGUUUAUAGCUGCAAGCAAAGCAAAGGGGUCAGUGUGGCUGAUGCAUCAUCACCCAAGGUCUCUCUCUCUCUCUCUCUCUCUCUCUCUCUCUCUCUCUCUCUCUCUCUCUCUCAUUUUGAAUGUUUGAUACGUGUACUAUCUGUAUGACAGGAAGUUGAGAUUCUUGUAAAUGGAAGAGAGAUGCCUGAAUGGAUUCUCCAUUGUAAAGAGGACAGCAUAUCUUUCAUGGUUCCCCCAGACUUAUGUGACAAGAUCUUGGGACUAGCAAUCUGUGUUGUUCUUCGCCAGAAUAAGAAAGGCUCAUUCGACGAUUCGUCCUGUUCAUUUGACAUCAGCUUGUUUGUAAAUGGCAUAAGAUCGUAUUACCGUUUGAUAUUUUUUGAUCCAUUGGAAUCCGAUCAUGUGAGUCUUGUUUAUUUCCCAAGCAACAGAAAGAUAGAAGAGAAGCCUCUGCAAAACGAUUGGAGCCAUAUCCAAGUUUGCCUCAGGGCACUGGAAGGAACCAUAAAGAAGCGUGGAUUCCGUCUAAUAUGCGAGCAACAGGAGGAUGAUCUGAGGGUCUGUUUUCCAACACCAUCGGCAGAUGGAAACAGAUUGGAGUUUCAAGGAAAGAUACUCAAAGGAAGACAAUUAUCAAUAGACACCGAGGAAGAAGAUAGGCCACUGGAACAGAACUCCACAAAGAAGAUGAGACGGUCUUAGCAAUGGCGAGAGUAUGGGUUGAACUCGCACCAACUGUUGAGGUAGCGAUUCUUGGGGAUGCGAACCGGUGAUCUUGAUUUCAAUGCCUCUUGCUUUUCCCUUUUUUUCUCGUCUCUACUAAAAAUUUGCAAUUGUCUGCUCCUUCAAUUAGUCGCGUAGUGCUACUGACAUGGUUGAGGAACUUUUCAUUUCCCUCUCGAUCUCUAUGAUCUGUGAUGCAAGAGUGCACCAAUCCAAUAUCAAGUGGAAUGCUUGCUGAAUGGCCAUUGUCUUCCAAGUUCAGUGAGAUAUAUCACGUAGAACUCUUGUCACCUCUCUUAAUCAAAUUAAUGAUGCCGAUGCUUCAUAUCCUAGAAUUCUUAGAUAGUAAAGCUUUACUUCUCGAGGAAAGUGUUGAUCUAAUUGUCUCAAAAAUCGAAAGGUUUACACGGGAAUGAUUAGUUGAUUCCUUUGCUGUUCCUAGGCAGAUUGCGUUGGAUAGAUACCAAGGGAGAGAUCUAGCUUCUGAGGCUUUGCGGAUAAGCAAAGGGUACUGACUUAAAAGAUUUUCAUGAAAAGCGAAUGGUGUUUAACAAACGCCUUGUAAAAUAUUUAUUACAGAACAAUUUUUAGUAUAAAGAAAAAAAAAUAGAGAAGGAACUUGCAGUUGUAUAUGAAAGCACAAGCGGGGGCGACGCAAAAGUUGGACUGGUGCUGACAUUGUGCAACCCUAGGCAAGGCACCUCUAAAGUUGAGCAAACCCGUCGAUGCGACAUUGAGCUACACUGAAACUAAGCAACACAAUACUAGUGUCACGCAACCCCAAGUAAUAGAAUGCCGGGGCCACACUACUAGGCAAUGCGACGCUUGACAACCUUGGCAAGCUAGAUCUGACAUCAAGUGACCCUCGCAAAGCUCCUCAAUGUUGCGUGACCCUCGACAAAGCUUUGCUGAUGUCUUUCAACCCUCUACAAAGCUGCACCUGCAUCCCUCGGUCCCUCUUCUAAGCUUCCCGGCCAUGAUCAAACACAUCUUUGUCUCUCUUAUCCAAGGUUGAGGGGUAAAAUAUGAUUGCAAAUGUAUUAGUGAUGGUAAGAUUGGAAGAAAAAAACUUUAUUAAACCCCUAAACUUGCAUUUCAAGAAUGCUAGAGCCCAUACUCGGAGGCUUACCUUGAACUUUGAGCGUUUUCAAAGCAAAACUUUGGAUCAAAAUCUUUGAAAUUGUGUUAUCAUACAUCAAAUCUUUAGCUCAAGGCCCCUUGAAGGUCCAAAAUAGCUUAAUUCAAGAUGACUGAGCACUCAAAUUUUUAACAGCAAAAUUGGACGGGAUUGAAACAAAGGGUAAAAUUGAAAUACCGGUACCAAUUAAGGGGUUUUUAUGAGUCCAAUUUUUUUUUUAAAGUAAAUAUUUUUGAGUAGUACCAAUUGAAGAUAUUUUUUUAUAUUAAUCCUAGUAACAUAUAUGUAUUAUUUCCUUUCUUUUUCCCCUUUUCAGUAGUCAAGUCCCAUUUCAUUGGGCAAGUGAAAUGCCAAGUGGCAUUUUGAUAAUUUCCUCUCAGAAUCUUGGUAAGUCAAGUUCCUACUAGUAUUGCCUUUGUAUUCUUCAUUGGCUUUCACUAAAGUUCAUUCUCCUUAUACUUUCCCUCCCAUCAGUUGCCCUUGGUUUUAGUCUUGGUGGUCCCAAGUUGUCCAUUCUUAAAUGCAUAAUUCAAUAAAGUAGAAAUGAUAUCGCCAAUCACUUUCUAAAGGCAAGAAUUGGUAAGAAUAGACGAUUACUGUAGUCUCCGCACAAGCAACAUAAUCACAUCACGAGUGAAUAUGAGAUGUCAAAUGCUCAUUACUAUACUAUCACUUACAAUCAUUAAGGAUCUAAGAUUAUACAAAUUGUGAUGUCUUAUGUCUUUUUUGAAUAUCUAAUUUUUUGAAUUGUAACACGUGUUCAUCUCACAUAUAUUUACCACAAAUGAUCAAAUUUCAAAAUCAUAUGGCAUCACCAUCUUCUUUCCUCCCCUCCUCCCCCUCCUCUUUCCUUCCCUCUCUCUCUCUCUCUCUCUCUCUCUCUCUCUCUCUCUCUCUCUCUCUCUCUCUCUAACACAAGUACAAGCACAAAAUAAUUUAUACUACCAAAGAAUAGGAAAGAACUACCAACGCUAGUGGCUCUUUUUGAGGUGUAACCCCAUAAAAGAGAAUGUACUUAAUAAACAUUGACUCUUUUCGAAUCUUAUUUUAUGGGAGCAACACCACCGAGAGAAAAUAAUUAAUAAAAACCGAAGUAACAUAAAGAUUUUAUUUAGACAUCCAAUCAUUCCGUUUUUUAUGAGCCUUUCCUAGUUCUUGUAACUUAUUUUGCAUUAACAACGUUCAAGAACAAAUUCAAAAGGAUGAGCAAUGUUGGGCAACUACUCGAGCAAAAUCUUGGGCCGACCAGAAUUGAAACAGUCUCAGGUCAACGCCACCAAAUGGGCAACCAAGACUGAAAUGAUGGGCUGAUCCUCUAGCAGGACUGGAGAAUGGGCCAUCUUCACUCCUCAAAUCUAAAAUAAAUUGACAUUUGGUUAUCCACCUUACCAAGAUUAGAGAUCAUAAUUCAACAAAAAAUUCAACCCCCAACUCCUCUCAAGUAAAAAUAAUGCGAUAGUUACUUACUAGUGGAAUCAAUGUUAGGACAUCACUUGACCAAUUGAGAGUUGUUGCAUUCAACAUUUGAAUGAAAAACCACAAACAGCAACAACAACAACAACAACAACAAAAAUCCCCUUUUCACAACACUUUCAAAGCAGUAUUGAACUUUAUUUGAGGAAACUAUUAGAAAUUGGCACCCAACUACUGCUGAAAAACCUAUUUGAAAUUAAUUUUUGGGAAAUAUCUUGGCCAAAAAAAUCCUUCUUAAAUUAAUUAACUUCUAUCAACUAGUAAAUUUUAAUUGAAGACAAAUGUCAAAAGUGGAGAGGUAAUGAUCUUGAAUCUUACAUCAAUGAUAGUGACAUCGACGACUUCAGCAUCCCUCAAGGGGUCCAGAGAUCUAAGAAGUAGGGAAAAAUGAAAAGAGAAAGAAUUGCGUAUUUUUUCACUUUGAUAGUUGCAAUUAGCUCCUAUAUUUUACUAAGAAGUAGGGAAAAAUGAAAAAGAAGAAAGAAAUUGCGUAUUUUUCACUUUUGAUCAUUGCAAUUAGCUCCUAUAUUUUUAGUUUUUUAGUGUAUAAUCCUCUUAGUUUUUUUUUUCAUUGGUGACAAUAUGAUUUUUUUCAUUAGAUUUAACAAGCUUGAUGCUCAAAAUUUUGUUCCAAAACUGAUCUUCAAUAAGCGUAGGCAAAUCUUUGCGACAAUAUGACUAAGUAGCANNNNNNNNNNNNNNNNNNNNNNNNNNNNNNNNNNNNNNNNNNNNNNNNNNNNNNNNNNNNNNNNNNNNNNNNNNNNNNNNNNNNNNNNNNNNNNNNNNNNNNNNNNNNNNNNNNNNNNNNNNNNNNNNNNNNNNNNNNNNNNNNNNNNNNNNNNNNNNNNNNNNNNNNNNNNNNNNNNNNNNNNNNNNNNNNNNNNNNNNNNNNNNNNNNNNNNNNNNNNNNNNNNNNNNNNNNNNNNNNNNNNNNNNNNNNNNNNNNNNNNNNNNNNNNNNNNNNNNNNNNNNNNNNNNNNNNNNNNNNNNNNNNNNNNNNNNNNNNNNNNNNNNNNNNNNNNNNNNNNNNNUAUUUACGAGUGUAACCUUGGCUAUCCUGGAAAAGAGGGGAUGUCGGAAUUUUCUUAAUUUUUGGUGUCCAUCGUCUCUUAACUUUCCAAACUCCUUAACCUGUUGCAUGCCAUUCAGGUUUUAUAUUUUAGUUUUCUAAUAUUAGUUAAUGUACAAAAAAUGUUAACCCGUGGCAUUCUUUCUUCCUAUUUGGUGAGGUUAAAAAAAUCUCAUGCAAAAUAGAGUUUAUUAAUGUACACUUGUAAUUCAUGGGUGUUGGGAAUAACGGAUUCCCGAAAACCGGAUUCGACACUGAAUCGAACCCCUAAAUCAAUGCGGAAGACGAGGCCCAGGAAAAUCACGUAUCACCGAUCGUAAAGCACACCACGGAUUCGAGCGUACCUUGUUAGCCACAGAUUAGACACCAACGCCGAUAGAGGAAGAGAAACUAGGCCUUGUUCAAUCCGAGGAGGCAAAAUCCUUCAAGCGCUUCACUGGUUUCGCUUUAAAGAAAAACGAGAGAGAGAGAGAGAGAGUACGUAGAGAGAAAGCGUACGUCUUUUUCUAAAAACAAAACGGUGCCUUUUUCUCUCUCUCUCUCCUCCCUUUUAUACCUCUCCCCUUUCAUGGGCCCUAUUCCCGUGGGUCGAGCUUUAUGGGCCCAACUUGGGCGGACGGGCCUUAAGCCCAUCUCGUAUAAAACCAUCAUCUCCCACUGGCACAUGGUGGGCCGAACAUGAUUCUCUUUACCUCUCUUCAACAUUCAUACCGGUGAAUAAUCCGUGCGACCAGCAUACUUUGAGAGCUCGUUGCUAUACAUCUGUUAGGAAUAUAUAGCAACUCAUAAUGAGCGUCACACUCCGAGUAGAUUUAGUAUGCAAUACCCUAGAUCGAUCGAUCACAUUUUAUAUCUCUUUUGAUCUCUUUUAAACAUGAUAUAUAUAUUGUAUUCACAAUUAUAAUUAUCACAAAGACAGUCAUAAUUGGUCGACCAGUGAAUACAAAACUAUAAUGUGAUUCUCCAAAAUCGAUCUUCCUCUUUCCUUCAAAUUCUCAAUUUCAGUUCAGCUUGCUUUUCUAGAAAUGCCCCAUUAGAUCGAAUCAUCUCAUGACUAUUGGCAACACCCUAAGAUAGCAAACACUAAAUAGAAAUCUUGAGAAUAAGUAAGAGUCAUGAGGGGACUAAAAAUUGAGGAACUCUUUUCCUUAAGAGUCUCACACAUCAUAAAAGUUGAGAUCAAACUUUUUGCCACUCUUAUUGGUCGUCUCAUGCAUAUGUAGUAUGAAAUACGUAUUACGGUAUUAACUCCUUUCCCAUGGAGCGUAUGUCUACACCUUUCAAUACCGUACAGAUGAUAGUUCAGACAUACCCAAUGUCUAACUUGAGUUCACGUAUCUACUCAUUUACAAAAUUCAUCAGAACUCACAUCUGGCAUCUUAGACAGAUAAAGUAAAAUAUGUGGGGUAUUUUACUUUCGGACAUAGUAAGUAUUAUGUCCUCAUCUUAACACUCAGUUAAGGCAAUAUACGUAUUUUAAGCUUGAGCUCUCGAUUAUCACCUAGAUAAUAAGCUUAAAAACAGUCUCAUCUCUAUUUAUCACAUAGUAAAUAGAGGCGAUUACCUGUGUGAGUGGGCUAAUCUUAUAUCUGUCCGACAUACUUUCUCAAAAUAAUGCACUUAGCAUUAAGAUACAUAAAGAUCAAACAAAGAAUCAUAGGCAUUAAUGAUGAAAACACAAAUUCAUCAAAUGUGAACACUUAGGGAAAUUACAAUAUUUAGUACAUCAGCCUCUACACAAUCCUAGAGAUUUCAUAUAGCCACAAAACACAUCUCUAGGUAUUGGGUUUGUCAUAGGAUCUGCUACCAUUUUAUGCGUAAUAUAUACUCUAGGUUCACAUCUUUUCGUGCAACCAUAUCCAUAACAAAAUUAUACUUGGUAUCUAUAGGUUUGGUCUUGUCAUGAUAUUUUGGAUUUUUGGUGUACGCUUUUGUUGCUUGGCUACCACAGUUAACCAACAAUGAAUUUGCAGCACUUCCAAUAACACCUAAAUGAUCCAAAAAAUCUCUUAAGCCAAACACCUUUUUAUACUGCUGCUGAUAAUGUCACGAACUCAACUUUUAUCGUGGACAAGGCUAUACAUUUUUGUUUCUUACUGCUCCAACAUAUGAUGCCAUUAUUCGGUAAGAAAACAAACCCAGAGGUAGAUUUUCUUUCAUCUAAAUCUCCUCCCCAAUCAGUAUCAGAAUAGCCUUUGAAUUGCAGAUCCUUUCCUUAAUAACUCAGCGUAUAAUCAGCAGUUCCCUUUAAAUACCUUAGUAUUCUUUUAACGGCUUUCCAACCUGCUUGACCUGGGUUGGAUUGGGUAUCUACUCACCAUUCCAACUGCAUAACAUAUGUCANNNNNNNNNNNNNNNNNNNNNNNNNNNNNNNNNNNNNNNNNNNNNNNNNNNNNNNNNNNNNNNNNNNNNNNNNNNNNNNNNNNNNNNNNNNNNNNNNNNNNNNNNNNNNNNNNNNNNNCCUUUGCAUAGGAGUGUCUAUGGGUUUACAAUCUUGCAUACGAAAUCGUUCAAGAACCUUAUUUAUAUAGAUUUCUUGCGAAAGAGAUAACGAUCUCUUCGAACGAUCUCUUGAAAUCUUAACUCCAAGAAUGUAUGCAGCCUCACCCAUAUCCUUCAUCUCAAAGUUAGAAGACAACCAACUCUUGACAGUAUUAACAAACUCUCUAUUGCUUCCAGCAAUUAGUAUAUCAUCAACAUAAAAUGAUAUGAUCACAAAUUGAUCCUUGGAUCUUUUGAUAUAUACAUAAUGAUCCUCAUCAAUCAUUGUAAAAUCAUAUGCCAUUAUGGCAUUAUGAAAACAUAUAUACCAUUGUCUUGAUGACUGCUUGAGGCCAUAUAUCGAUCCCCAAAAUCGACAUACUUUUUCUUCUUGGCCUUUCACUAUGAAACCAACAGGUUGUUCCAUAUAUAUUCUUCCUCUAAUUCUCCAUUGAGGAAAGCAGUCUUUACAUCCAUUUGAUGUAACUCAAGAUCCAGACUAGCCACUAUUGCUAGAAUAAUGUGAAUCGAGGUAAAUCUCACUACAGGAGAAAAUGUAUCUUCAUAAUCAAUUCCUUUCUGUUGAUUAUACCCCUUUGCCACAAGGCGGGCCUUAUGCAUUUUUAUCGAGCCAUCAGCCUUUCGCUUUAUUUUGAGAACCCACUUGUUCCCAAUAGCUCUGCAUCCCUUUUGGAAGAUAAACCAGUUCCUAGACUUGGUUUGACUUCAUUGACUCCAUCUCCUCUUUCAUUGCAUAAAUCCAUUUUUCCUUACUAGGGCAUUUCAGAGCCUCAUUAAUAUUUCUUGGCUCAUCCUUAUCUCGUGGAGCAAUUAUAAAAGUUUCCCUUUCAAUGUCCAAAUGUCGACGAGGAAUACUUUGGCGACUUGUUCGCCGUAUGAAAGAUUGUACACUUAGCACAUCAUUCCCCAUCAUGUUCCCACUCGGAUUAGAUAAUGAUGAUGUCGUCUCAUCAUGUGGUUGCAAUUGAGAAUGAGUUGAAUUAAAUUCAUCACUUUUCAUAUUACUCCUACUUGGACGAACUCCACUAAUAUCAUUAUCUUGAUUCAAGGUUUCAAAUAGGGAGUAAUCCUCACCUAUUUCGCCCUUCUUAAGAAAUUCAUCCUCUAAGAAUGUGACAUCCCGUGAUUCAAAUUCAGUUAUACUCCCACUUUCCUGCUCACCUAUGAACAUAUACCCUUUCGAGUGUUCGAAGUAUCUCAUUAAAAUACUCUUCUUUCUUUUGGGACCCAAUUUCCCAAACUUGUGAGAGGACUCAUAAGUAUAGGCAGCACAACCCCAUGACUUAAGAAAAUUUAAAUCCGGUUUUCUACCUAUCCAUAACUCAUUUGGAGUGGAAGUAACUGAUUUGAAAGGCACCCGGUUAAGUAUAUAGGCUGCAGUUAACAACGCAUCACUUCAAAAAGUAAUUGGUAAGUUAGCAUGCGCCAUCAUGGACCUAACCAUUUCUAGUAGGGUAUAUGGAAUAGAGAAGUAUAUGGAAUAGAUAACUAUCUUUCUAUUCCUUUUUCAUCACGUAAUUUUCUGAACUCAUCAGAUAAAUAUUCUCGACCUCGAUCGAAUCUAAAUAUUUUUAUUUUAUUGUCUAAUUGAUUUUCAACCAAUUUCACAAACCUUUUGAAACAACAUAAUGCUUCAAAUUUAUGAGAAAUCAAAUAGACAAUAUCCGAAUCGAGUAUAAUCAUCUAUAAAAGUGAUGAAGUAAACAGCCCCAUGCCUUCCUCUCACAUUCAUUGAACCACAGAUGUCAGAAUGGAUUAAAUGCAGAAGAAAUUCAGCUCUUUUACCUUUUUUAAAUGGUUUCCUUGUUGUUUUCCCUACUAGGCAAUGCUCAUAUAUGGACAAAUCGACUUUUUCAAUGUUGCCCAACAAGCCCUCUAUGGCUAGUCUAUUCAUAUGUUGUUGGCCAAUAUGACCAAGUUUAGCAUGCCACACACUCACAUCAUUAUCAUGUAAAGUAGGAGACGUGAGAAGGGAAUAACAAAUAUUGACAUCACCACAGUCAACAUAUAGUACAAUAAAACCAUCCAGAAGGUAACCACGACCAUAGUAGUUUGUAUCCAAAUACAAAUCUACACUUCUAUUAUGGAAGUUCAUACUAAAACCAAGCGUAACCAACACCAAAACAGAUACAAAAUUUCGACGAAUCUCCAGAGCAUAUAGAACAUUAAGGUGCGUCCACCACUCAUGUUCAAUUGGCAGGUGCCAAUUCCUUUACUUCAGCUCUGGAGUUGUUUCCCAUAUGGAUCCACUUAGUUCCAGUUGGUACUUGUCGAAAUUCCACGAAGGAUUCUCUAUCCUUCCCUUCAUGGUCUGUCGCUUCUGAAUCUACAGUCCACAAAGGAUUGGAUUCAGCCAAUAAUACAGAACUUGACACAUAAGCAAAUUUCUCAAAUGUACAAGAGGUGUUUACUUUUUUUUUUUUGGCUCACAACAGUUGCGAACAUAGUGACCUCUCUUGUCACAAUUGUAACACCUCACCCUUGACAUCUUCUUCACUUGAGGACGUUUUCCUCUCUUGUGUUGGUUAACUCUUGAUUUCUUGCAAUAAGGACUUGAUCCUUUGCAUUCCCACAUAUUGAACGAAUUAAUACGCUUGCGCUUAGAGCUCAAAACCCUUUCUGAGCUAGAACCAGCAUUACAAAUGUCCGUUUUCGGCUCAAAUGCCGUUAGGCGGUCCUCUACUAACUCAAGGUAGCGCAUGGCAUCCUCAAGAUCUUCCAUAACAUGGUCAAGAGCUUCUAGUGCUUCUUGCUUUUCCAGCACAUAUUGAAUCUUUAUAUUCAAUAUUUCACAAUUGUCACCGUUCAUAUCAGCAAUUACGUUCUUAGUUGCUGAAAUCAUCGAUCUAAACACAUCAGACAUACAUGCACGAAUAAUUAAUGCCUAUCAUUUAUGCAUCCAUUUUGCACAGACCCAUCAUAUUAAUAAACAAUUUCAAGUAAGGUUUCAGAAUCAAAAGGUCACUACGUUUCCAAUCAUCCUCCAAAAAUCCUAACUUAAAACUAUCAUUAAUAUGAUUGUCAUAUGCAAAAUCAAUUUAUUAUUAAUAUAAUUGUCUUAUGCAAAAAUAAAUUCUAUGAAGUUAUAAAAACUUCUAUAACUACCCACAGCUAACUACCCACAGUAAUCAGAAAUAACAGAAAGCAAAUAAUAAUUGACAUCCAAUAAAUUAAUAAUGCUUUCACAUAAUACAACUAACAUAUCGGUUGCUACAUCAACAACAAUCAGGUAGUAAACAAUACAUAAUAUGUCCACAAAGCACACUUAACAAAAAAUCAGCCAAUACAUUUAAGAAAAUUGAAGGCACAUUUGCCAACCAUGGAAAAAACUUUUGGAGAGCUUUCAUGUCGCCACCAAGGCGCAUUCACUCUGCGCCAUGUGGCGCUCAAUCUAAGGGUUGAAGUUUUGGUUAACUCAAUCCUAUAGUACUCUCUUACAAAAGUUUCCAUUAGCCUCCUAUAACCCGAGACCACGUUGACCUCCCAUAGACGAUCUAACACUGCUUGCCAUUUAGCUAGAAGAGUGUUCAUCAAAGCCGGCACUUUCUCAAAAUUCGGCAUAAGAUAACCAUUGUAGCUGAUUUCCUGUAUCAUCUGUUUGACCCUGACCACAUGUGAUACUAAAUCACCGUCAUACCACCGAUAAUUAGCUAAAUCUGACAUCAGCCUUUUAAGUCUUGCAUUUCCCUCGUCCAUUCUCGGGAUUGCAGGUAUCCGUGCAAAACGCAUCAUAGUUCCUGCAACAAAUGCAGAACUAAAAAUGGAUUACUUAUAAUCCAUAAUGUACAAAAGGAAAAAUACAUAAUUUUCCAUAAUUCAUGUAACAAAUGCAGAAUUAAAAAAUGGAUUACUUAUAACCCACAUAGGCAUGACUGAAAAAGAAACAAAUUCCUUUUCUUCUUUUUUUUUUCGGGUCAACAGUCAACGGUCAAAGUCAACGGUCAACGGUCACGGUCGUCGGUCGUCGGUCAACGGUCAACGGUUCAUAGGGUCGGGUCGACGGGUGCGCGGGUUGGACCAGUUGGACCGGUCAGACCAAUCGGACCGACCGGCCGGUCGGACGAACCAAUCGGCACGUGUCACGCGCGUGCGUGGGCUGACGUCACGCAGAUGUCACUUGCACGUGCCGCAGGCGUGAGCAGUUUGACGUCACGCAGACGUCAGCCGAUACGUGCGCGGCAUGCGCCAGCUGGUCGGGUCGGGUCGCUUUCGAGUCGGGUCGGGUCGGGUCGAGUCGCCGGCCGGUGACCGCCCGGCCAACGGUCGUCAGCGAUGACGUCAUCGGUGACGUCAUCCCAGCGGUUAUCGACUGUUGGGUGAUGUCACGGUGACGUCAUCACGCGUUGGUUCGCCAACCGGCGCGUGCCGGUUUGCUGGUCGCCGACAUGCACGUGCCGGUUCGCCGCCGGCGCAUGUGGCGCACGCGCUGGCCAAUGCCAGCGCUUCGGGCGCGUCGCGCCCACGCGCAGCGCCUUCUGGCCGCGCGUGUGGUCGCGUGUGGUGUCGUCCGGCGGCGCACGACAUGUUGCCGGACUCGUCUCGACGACCUCUUUCUCCCUAUGCCAUCAGAAUUCGAUUUCGACUUACGAAAACUCGGAAAAAUGGCCGAACAACGCUCGGGUGUCGGGAUUUCUUGCCCCAAUCCGUAUGGCCGAAUUACUUUCACGAAAAAUCAAUCAAAAAACAUCAAAUUGAUCGGGAAAACGUGAAUUAGGGCUCUAAUACCAAUGUUGGGAAUAACGGAUCCCCGAAAACCGGAUUCGACACUGAAUCGAACCCCUAAAUCAAUGCGGAAGACGAGGCCCGGGAAAAUCACGUAUCACCGAUCGUAAAGCACACCACGGAUUCGAGCGUACCUUGUUAGCCACAGAUUAGACACCAACGCCGAUAGAGGAAGAAAAACUAGGCCCUGUUCAAUCCGAGGAGGCAAAAUCCUUCGAGCGCUUCACUGGUUUCGCUUUAAAGAAAAACAAGAGAGAGAGAGUACGUAGAGAGAAAGCAUACGUUUUUUUCUAAAAAUAAAACGGUGCCUUUUUCUCUCUCUCUCCUCCCUUUUAUACCUCUCCCCUUCCACGGGCCCUAUUCCCGUGGGUCGGGCUUUAUGGGCCCAACUUGGGCGGACGAGCCUUAAGCCCAUCUCAUAUAAAACCAUCAAUGGGUUUGUUAUUCUAUCACUAUACUAAAUCCAGCCACAAAAUGCAAUUUAUUUUAAGUUAUUAAUGUCUGCUCACUUCAAGUGAUUUUACAAUGUUUUAUACCAAAUGAAGUAUCUUUAGUAUGCUAAAAUGUCUCUUUAUCUAUAGGGUUUACACGGGCUUCAUAUACAUGUGUUCUCUAUCAGUAUAAUGCUUUUUGUUUUUGGGGUGGGACAUUUUAACAUGAUCACAAAGUCAAGUUCGAAACCAGUUGUUUUUUUGCACUCCUCAUAUACAUGUGUUCUGAUAAUAUUUCCAGAUGAUGUCAUUUGGAUCUCACAGGAUUCGGUUUUUUUGCCUGGUAAGUUCUAUGUGUGACAAAAAAUAAGGUACGAAUUAUUCUCUCCAUAUUUAUUUAUUUAGAAAUUUAUUUUCGAUUAUCCCUUGAAAAUCGGAUUCCUAUUCAAAUUUUUUCGGAAACCGCUUAUUGAAAAAUCGUGCCUUUUCGGUUUCCCUUAUUCAGUUUCCAAAAAUUUGCUAUUUAUAUUUUUACAUCUUUUCCAAGAAGUAAUCCUCAUUCCCUUAAACCACUUUUCUUCCUCUUCGAAACCCUUAUUCUUCGAAACGUCUCCUUCAUCCUCUCAAAGAUCGAAACUUUUUCUCUCAAAACAUCCAUGGCCCCAAAAUCUGCCCAAGGAACAAAAUCUAGACCCUCUGCUUCAUGAAGAUCUAGACAUAUAGCAGGAGUGGCAUCGGGAGCGAUGGGGACCAUCGAGCAUUUUGAACUGUCAGAUUCUUCCAACAAUGUCAAUGGUACUACAAGCGAGGCUCCUGUAACCUCUAAGAGCGAUUCUUCGGCUGAGUGGAGAAAGUUGAAAGAGGCCAUUGCAUCGCUCCGAAGCCUAGGAAACAACAAAGAGAUAAUAUCUACCCUCUUGGCUACAAAUGGGUUUGACAAUGAGGAGGCUCUAGACUUAAUGGUUGCAAAUCCUAUUCGUAUUAUAUCAUACGUAGUAGUCGAAAUUGUUGUGACCCGACCUCACCACCACCCGGCCCUCAUAAAAAGAGGAAUGGGGAAAGGUCGGACUUAGAGGUACUCGAUCACGAAAGUUCCCUCAAAGUUCUUAUUCACAAAAAGCGUCAUCACCUCACCUUUCGGACAAACCUCUUGUGAGUUUACUUGAUCAUGGUCGUGAGCUCUUUCAAGCUCGUACCUCGCAUGACAGCGGAAGGUUUCCUGACCUUAGGCUGACGUCAUGGCAUGUCUUGAUCGACGGUUUUAAGUUUGAAGGGAAACUGGAAGUAAAAGUAAGUUUGAGGGUAUUUUACAAUCAUGAUAGCCCUCUUAAGAUGCACAUCUAUUAAAGAUGGCAUCACUUGAUCUUUAUCAACUUCAUCAUCUUGGUAUGCUAAAUCACGGCCGUGAACCUUUUCCAAAGGUCCAUACCCCUCAUGACAAGUUUAAUUAUACAAUUUAGUUGUUUAAGACAACCUAGAUAUAGGACAUAAGUUGCCACUAGCCUCAUUUUUUAGGGUCGGCUAGAAAACACAAUCGAGGGUCGAGAGUGGUCUCUCGAUUCCUAUGCAAUCAGAUAUCUAGGUUCAGGAACUUAUGCUAAUAUUUCUAUUAGUGCCCUUUCAAUACCCAACAAUAUGUCGUGUUACUUAAGGUGUCCAUGCAUUUUUAUUUACUUUUUCGGGAUCGUUUUAUCCUAAGCUAGACAAUCAUGCGUGGAUAAUCAUUGUUAUGUCCUUCUAUUUUUAAGAAGGAUAAAAGAAAACAAUCAAUUGAAUUGAGAGUACGAAACAAUAAGUAAACAAUCAAAGAAAGUGAUAAACCAACUAUGGUGUAUUCAUAAUAAGGAUGGAAAUAAAAAAGGGAGUAAGCAAAAAGGAAAUACCUGCAAUUCAUUGGGUGUUUAUACAAACAAGGGGAACCCGAAACAUAUGUCGAGGAAAAUAAAUACAAAAGAGUGAUCGGAAUGGACAUCGACCUUCCAUUGUCUUCAUCUUCAGGAUCCUAAUCUAAACCUAGUCUAAGAAUUAUAGCUAGGUAAAUACAAUGUAAAGAAACGGCCAUGCAAGUCAAAGCAAUCAUAAACAUGAUACAAAAACAAUAUCAAACAAUUCAACAAAAUAAGAUUUAUCAAAUAAGUUUGAGCCUCAGGGGUAGCCUUUGGAAACAUGCGUAGGCCCAUCUAGAUACCUACCUAGUUCGUUUUAUGAUUUAAAGCUAUCAUUGACUAAUUACAUUUCUGCAUGGCUAAUAAUGCUUAUAAGUCCCUAAUUAAAGAAUUCUAUGUGAUCCUCGGGAUUUCCCAUCAGUAUCAUACAUUGUCCUUAACAUGCAUCUAGAAUUCACAUACAGGCAUGAAUUAAACACACACACAUUGUUGACACCUAUUUUUGAACAACAAAAAAAAACCAAAAAAAAAAAAAAAAUUAAUUAAAAAAAAAACAAAAAAACAAAACAAAAACAAAAACAAAAAAAAAACAAAAUGUUUAGGGGUCGGGUUGGACUGGAUCCAGCCUUGGCCCGGCCCGCCCCUCUUCCUUUUUCCUUUCCCCCGUGUAGCUCAGCCUCCUGGUCUCAUCCUCUGCACAUGAGGGGGAAAAAGAAAAGCAGCAAGGGCACAGGGGAAGCGGGGAGGGUGAGACGUAGAGAGAGAGCGGGAGAAGAGAGAGAUCUCGAGAAAGGAGAGACCUCGAGGGAGAGAGAGGAAAAUUUGGGGGGGGGGGGGGGGAGGGCGAUGGCGGUCGAGGAGAAAGGAGGCCUCGUUGCCUCAACUCGAUGCCCCGUGGCUAUUGGAGCCCUCCUCUGCCGAGCACCACUAUUCCGAGCCCUCUACUUGAGCGACCACCAGCUACCCGCUCAAGUACCGCCAUUGCUGCCGUGCUCCCUUCUGCCCAAACUCACGACGCCAGCAGCCCGAGCCGGUCGCUGAGCCCCCUCGCCGCACGACCUGCAACACUUGUCGUCAUUGUCGCCGACCACCACCGCUCCUAGUCCCCUCGCCAAAGAUGCCGCUCGAGCUCGAAAACCACGGCGACGUCCCUGACGAAGAAGUCCCGAUGCUGUUUCUAAGCGACCCACCACGAGUUCCACUGCGCAUGGCUAUUGUUACCUCGUUGAGGCACGUCGUAGACCACUACCGUGCUACCGUCCUCAACAAAGCCCUCGCCGUGCUAGCCUGUGACUCGCUUGCCACUUGCCCGACGCCAUCUGAGCCGCACCUCCGCCCUUCCCCGCAGCUGCCCAUCGCCAUACCGUCACCCAUCGUGUCGUUGAUGUUGUCCACACUACUGUUGCUCAUCGCGUCGCCGCCGCCAAGUCACCGUCAUCCCCAACCAUCCCUCAUUAACGCUACGAAGGAGUAGGGGAGAGAAGAGGCAGAAUCGGGUAGGGUUUGGUCUUCGAAGCAGGUUGGGCGCGGGUCACAAAACGGGUAGGGUUUUUGAGCAAUUCGAGCCGGGUUUGGGCUGUUUUUGCAUGUGGGCUUUAUUUAAAAAAAAAAAAUAGACCAGAUUAGGCCUGCACAUCAGGCCCAGCCUGGUAGGUUUUUGUCGGCUUGGAUCGCGCAGCUCGGUUUAGUCUGGGCUUGGGUCGUUUGGCCUGAUCCGGUCCGGGCUCGGGCUAUCUAGCCCAAGCCCGAGGUUCUGACCCAGGUUGUUUUAAAUAUAUUAUAAUAUUGUAUUAUAAUAUUAUAAUAAUAUUUUUAAAAAUUAAAAAAAUUCGAAAAUUAAAAAAAUGUAGGUUUGGUUGGAAAUUGCCAUGUUAUACCUAGUAUAAUUAGGCCUUUAUUUGCUUAUACAUUGAUUAUGUCGUGGGUUUAAUUUACAUGUUCAAUUAUGUUGGCAAUUGUUUAGUUGCUUACGUUAUUUCCAUUGCAAUUAGGAGCUUGGUUGUUAAUUGUCACUUUAAUGAUUGUGUACUCGUAUGAUCACCUCACAUAUUAGUGGAUAAGUGUAAAAUCAAUCCAAACUGCCUGAAAAAAAAAAUCUUUUCUUUUAAAAUGAACAAGAUUAAGUUUUGAAAGAGCACUAAAAGAUCAAUUAGUGUAAUCAAGUCUCUGAUCCUAAAUUCUCUGGUUGUGUAGGAAGUAAGGUAUACUAACAUGCUUCACUUGGUUUCUAGCCGACCCCAAUAAGCUAGUAGCGACUCCUUUUUCGAAAAUUCUUAAAAAUACCCCAAUGUCACACGAGAUAUGGGUUUGGGAGAGCCCGCGUCUAAUGAUGGGCCUUAGCUCUAUCUUUUGGUUUAUACCCCUAAACCUAUUCCCUCCCCCGAGGGGUAAGUCGUGACACACAUGCCUUUUGGGCCUUAUUUCCCAAUCAAUCAAACAAGAUGAGUGAACCGUUAGCAGGUCAUUUAUUGCCAAGGCACGUGCCAAUCAUGAACACAAGCAUUUCUAUCAAAUGGCGUGAUUAUAUGGUACAUGUGACGUCUCAAAAAUGGAUUCGAAAUCAUUAAAAAGAUUUUUGAGACAAUAUGAUGUCUCGGUUAUGAAACACAUUUAAUUACCAAACCUACCUAGGGUUUGCAUAAAUGUACUCACAAGCAUCGUAGGUAUUUUGAAUACAAUCCAAACUGUGACUUUCACCAUGUCAAAUCAAAGCUUGAAAAGAUUUGAAUUCAUUUUGGACUAAGGAAUAUCUAGGCUAUGAAACGCAUUUAAUUGCCAAGACUAACCCAAGACUUGCAUAAAUGCACUCACAAGGGUGAUAGAAAUUUAAAACACACUCCAAACCAUGAUUUUUCCUAAGUCAAAUCGAUUGUUGAAAGAAUUUCUAAAAUGUUGCUUUUUGAAACAUCACAUGUACCAAAGCGAUUUCGAGAUACAAUUUGAAAAGUCCAUUCAUUGAAAACCAUUUUGACAACGACGAUCAGGGGAUUUGCAACAUAUUCCAUGAAGAUGAUAUGCCCUAAUAUCAUAGACAAACUAACCUAAAGAUUUACUAAACAAUCACAACAACAAAUUCAUAUCAGAAAAUUUCAAACCAAGCACAGCAAAUCAACAAAAUUGGAAAGUAUCCAUCGAUAAUCUAACUAUAAGAAAAUUUCCUAACAUGCAAAACAUGAUAGAGAACAACUUUCAUGAAGGAAGCAAAAAGAGCUAAGCAUGAUUUUCUAAAAAUCAGAAAGCAAGUAACAAUGCAUCAAGAAGUUGUCAAAACAGCAGAACAUUCAGUCAUUACUACUAAGAUUUAAUCUACCAAAUGAAGUCUAAAAAUCACAAAAUUUUCAAUAAAAACAUAGCAAACAUGAUAAUAAACAAACUUUAUUAAGGGACCAAGUCCAGAAUCCUUAUAAAAGAAAUGGUACAAAAAUAGAAAAAGUCUAUCUAAAUAGGGGUAAAAACAAGUGUCCGAAUUUGAUCCUUUAGUCCAAAUUCUAGCCUAGCUUAGAAACAUAGGAAAUAGACCUAACGAUAAGUAAUUUGCACGAAAUCAACGAUAUUUGAAAGUUCUAGGUGUGCUUUACAACUUCCCAGAAGGGCCCGCUUCCAAUCAAGGUUAACUUGGUAUUCUAACACAAUGGUCUCUAAAAGCGUGCAUAUCAGCUUUUAAAAACCAGAAUAUAGACAUGCAUUAUUGAACCUCAAAAUCAUUCAUGUAAUGCACAAAUGGCAUGAAAAAAUCACAUACGGCUUAGAAUCAGAUGUGACAAGCAAUUUGGAUAAUCAUCUAACCUUAAGUCGACAUGCAAAAACAUCAUACAUUCAAUGCCAACACAAGAUUAUUUAGGAUUUAUAAUGUCAUGCUUGAAAGUUUUUAAGUGUAAUAGGCAUUGUUGUGACAUGAUUUUCACAUGCGAAAUGGUGUUCAACCAUGAUGAACCACAUACGCACACAAAGCUUGCUAUAUGUAGUUCUAAUAUCAAGAAGGCGCUAACGUGAAAUUUGGUCUCUAAGAGACCCAAUCAAGCAUACAAAAGUACGCACAUGAUAAGGUUUCAAUCCUAUAACAAGAGCAGAGAGCAUUCAUAAUUUUGAUCACUUAAAGGUAUGCAUAAAUCCAACGAAAAACGUGUCAUAUAAAAUGAAAGAUGACGGACAUUUUUUGUUAAGAACUCAAAAGCCAAUUUUGACCACACGGAUGAUGACGAAAAUGGCAAAACUGAUGCGCGCUCUUAACUUUCAAAUUGCAGCAGGACCUAUAUGCGUUUAAACAUGAAAUCGACGUAUCAAAUGGCAAUAAAAUCAUGCGAAUCAUGCAUCAUUGUAACACAUACGUCAUGUAUAUGAAGUUCAAUGAAGAUCCUAAGAUUGAAAGUCUCAUCUAUAUGCCUAUUUUCAUCAAAAUGCAACUCGAAAUGGUGCGGGGCAGCUUAACCUUGGCUUAGAUCUAAGAGGUUUUGACCCAUUAAAACACAUUCGAAAAUUCUGAAAAAAAAAAAUAGCAGGACAUUCUCAAGACAAAGAGGAACAAGUUUCAUGAACGAAACUUUGUCCAGAAAUCAUCACGGAAAGCAAGACAAGACACUAAGUCGGACCAAAAACAGAAACUAAAAAAAAAAAAAAAAAUCUACAGAAAUCAAGCAGAUUGUAACGUGCUUUUUGGGGGGUCAAACGUCCCCAAUCAGGCUGUACGACCUACUGAUUCGAAACUCAAGCCAAAAUAAGGCUGUUUAAGACCUGGUUUUAGUCAAAACAGCAAGCCAGUUUCAGAAACAUGAAAAUCAUAGAUUAGUGCCAAAAUCAUUCAAUCAACAAUGAACUUGCAUUCAAUCUAUCUUGAAGAUAAACAUAUAAUCUUCAGAUCUAAAGCUUUUUAUUGAUCUAAUAGUGAAUCCUAGUGUCGAUUGGAUAAUCCAACCUAAUAGUGAANNNNNNNNNNNNNNNNNNNNNNNNNNNNNNNNNNNNNNNNNNNNNNNNNNNNNNNNNNNNNNNNNNNNNNNNNNNNNNNNNNNNNNNNNNNNNNNNNNNNNNNNNNNNNNNNNNNNNNNNNNNNNNNNNNNNNNNNNNNNNNNNNNNNNNNNNNNNNNNNNNUUUCUAUUUAUAUUUUUACAUCUUCUCUAAGAAGUACUCCUCAUUCUCUUAAACCACUUUUCUUUCUCUUCAAAACCCUUACUCUUCGAACCAAUUGAUCGUCACUGGAGCAUGAAUGGAACUUUGAGAUCACGAUCCGACCGCCACAAGACGCCAUGAGUUCGGAUAAGCCACCAGUUUGGCCUAUGAAGUAGCAUUGUUCCAAACUUGGACCGGUUUGAGAUCGCGGGGGAAAGAGUGGAUUGCCGGAAGAGAUCCGAGCAGGUGUUGGCCAAGUUCCGACCGUCCAGAGUUUAGAGACAGCGUGAGUAGUAGAUCGGUGACAGUUGUUGGCUUGAGGAAUGGCUAGCGAUUGCCGGUUUAGCCGAUCCAAGACCCGACCGAUUCUGGACAACUGUGGUUUCAGUAGCCACUGGAGAUGAUCUGGGGGCUCUUCAAUCAGUUUCCGACUUAUAGAUGGUCGGAGACUCACCUAGGAUUCAAUUGGAAGUGGCUGAGGGUGUUGAGGGUGUUGGAGACGGCUGCCGGUCUCCCAUGGAGGAAAAAAUCCACCGUUGGUUCAAAGGCAAUUUGACCACCAAAAUAGGAAGUUGUUCCGGAGGGGAAAGACGAGGUCAGAGAGGCCGUCGACUGGGGCCUAAAUCGGCAGCGAUUGGCUCACCAAAGAGAGAGAGAGAGAGAGAGAGAGAAAAAUGCAGAAAUGAGCCCCCCUUUCAAAAAAUUGAAGGGAAAAGUCUAUUUAUACCACCUCAAAUCGGUCAAUCUCGACCAUCAAUUCGAUCCGACGGUCGAAAUCGUAAUGCAACAGGCAAAACUUGAUUUCGAAAGUGUUGACUCUUGAAUCGGAUUGCCAGACCCUCAUUGAGACGCUGAAGGGUUAGCGCCCGCCGCCAUGGGUAGAACGCAGCCUCUUCUCCGAAGCUGCCUUCCUGCCCGCCGCCAUGGGUAGAACGCAGCCUCUUCUCCGAAGCUGCCUUCCUGCUUUCGUCUUUUCCCAAUAUUUCCCUAGCCUUCUGUCAUCGUGAGGCGAAUGUUGCUGCUGACUGGGCCGCGAAGGCCCAUAGGGUAAAUUCCAAGCGAAGUAAUUGAGCUAUCUUUCCCCCUCCCCCUCUAUUAGAACUUGUUUACGCUGAUGCGAUUACUGCUGGUUGUAAUCGGUUUGGUCCUUCUAUAUAAUAUUUAUUGUUUUGACAAAAAAAAAAAUUAUGAUCUAGAGAUGUCAAGUAAUUGAUCUAAUGGGUUCGAUUCGCAAAACCAAAGUCAAAAUCAAGAAUUGUGUUAGAAUGUCUAUUUAGGGGUCAAAAUGCAAGUUUACUAAAUUUGAAGGCCAAUCUUCAAAAUCUUGGGCAACUAAAGAUGCAGAAGUAAAAUUGACACAAUGAGGACCUUAGGACUAGUUGCCGGAGGUCAAGAAUUGACCGAUAAGGGGUCGGACAAGCUUGCCUCGCCAGUAGCCGAUUGGACCGGUCAAAUUGGUUUGCAUCAGUUUGACUAGUUCUUGAUCGGUCUGGUUUGGUUCUAAUUGAUUCACCCGUUUGUAGUCCUUGUGGGUUUAAAAUUCAUGCAAUCAAGGAUCAAAUUGAAGAGAAAACUUACACGAUUGAAGGAAAAUUGCCCAAUUUCAAUUCAAUUAAGCCAAUUAAGCUUUAUAAAUGUGAUCUAUGGAUUAUCUAUUAACCUAAUUGAGUAAUUAUUGUGAAAAUAACGAGCUAAAACCAUGGAUACUUAAGAUUGACCCUAAAAGCCUAAAAUGCACAAAUUUGCAAUUCAAUGGCCAAAAUUGCAAAUUAAUGGAAAUUAGAUUCAAUUUGUGUUGUAAUUGCCCUAUCCAACUAAUUAGCCAUGUGUAAGAUCACCUAGAGUAUUCAAAUUGACUUUGAAUUGAGAUACCAAAACUAAAUCGGGUCUAAUAUUAAAAUUGGACUUAGAUUCAUACAAUUGGGCCUUAGUUUAGAAUGGGUCAGUUCGAAUAUCUUCAAUUGGAGCUCGAUGGUUCAGUUUUCUUACUUUUAAGAGAGAGAAAUCCCUUAAAUUGGAAAGUUCUAAUGCAAAUUUCUCAAAAAGGACUUUGGAUUUGGACUUAUGUUAAGAAAACAAGUGGAAAAUAAUUGUCCGUUUGUAGAUCAUAAAGAAUCAAUUUUUAUCCCCUAAUUACGGCGUAAAAUAAACAUUUAUCUUUUGACACGGUAAUUCACGAAAUUGAACACAUGAGCGGAUUUAGAAUAAUCUCUAAACCAAAUUUCAAAGAAGGAACUACACCUAAUUACGGCCCAAAAUAGAAGUAAAUUUAUUUUUGGUCGAUUUAGAACCAAAAAUCGAAAUAAUUAGAAAACAAGGUUCUUGAUCAAUUUUGUGAAAUUUUCGAUACUAAAGUAAAAUUGAAACGAAAAGAAAUGUUUUUGUGGAUUUUUUGAUAUUUUGAGUUUGAUUUUUUUGUCAAAGAUUUGACCAAAAGUCAACCAUUUAGUUGAUUUUUCCUCAAAGUUGAUUUUUGAGCCAAAUCUUUGGAUUUUUAAAAAAUUGACUUGAGAAAAGUGAAAUUGGCAUCUCUUUUGGUAAAAAGCCAAUUUUUUUACUCGGGGUUAAUUUUUUAUCAAAGGGUUGACUACAAAAAAGUCAACUCGGAAAUCAACCGUUUAACUUUUCAAGUUUUCCUUGAAAAUGAGCUGAAAAUUGUUUACAAUUAGCCAUGUGUAAGAUCACCUAGAGUAUUUAAAUUGACUUUGAAUUGAGAUACCAAAACUAAAUCAGGUCUAAUAUUAAUGCAACAAAAAGAAAUGAAAAACAACAUUUUUUAGUUGAGAAAUGAGCUCUGUUGCGAUCAAAAUCCCGAAUCUUGAUUUCUACCUUUUCUUUUUUACACAUCAACUAAAAAUCAGGUAUCAACAUGAACCUCUAGUGGAGUAAGCUCUUUUGCUAAGAAGGGGAAAGAAAAAAUGGCAGAAACCCCUAUGUCUAGAAAGAAGGGAAAAUCAUCUAAGGCUAGAGGUGUGGAUCUAGAUUAUGGUAGGAAAGGCGAUAAUGAUGAGAAAUUGUUCAUGAACUUCAAAAAAAAAAAAACUCGUUGGAUAUGUUGCUGCUAGAAUUUAGGGUUGGAAAGCUGAUAAAAUCUACUUGACAUAUGAAUUAUUUGCAAAGUUUGAUAAGAAUAGUAGUCAUGAAUCACAAGGUUGUUGAGUUUGAAUUUUUUGAAUCAUUUGGGAUUCAGAUUAAGCACAUUUUUAACAAACUUUUGAUGACUGAUCCGUAUAUUAACAAUUUUCCAAACUAUCCCUCUUUAACAACAUAUUUUUACCCAAGUCUGUCGUUUUACGCACUUGACAUUAUUGAGUUCACUAUUUUUGACAAAUAUGUUCUUAUCCAUGCCACUGAUUUGGCAAAAAUUCUUGGUGUCAAUCACUUAGACUUUUUUCCAAUUGAUGUUGAUCCUGAUGUGGCUUAUCAAUCGAUCUCACGUAUCUCUGAUUUUUCCAUAGAUACUCUAUCCCAUCUUUCACAUCACAAUUUUCUUCUAAACCAAAUUGUCUUGCAUAAAAUCAUCAUUAACUAUCUUCAAUCAAAAGAACAUAUGUAUCUCAGUAUGGAGCCAAGAUCAUCUGGGCUCUUUUAAAUAAUCAUCAUUUUUCACUCGCACACAUGGUCAUCCUUCACAUGUACUAAAUUGUUUUAAAGUCCAAACAACAGUUGUCCUAUGGAUCUUUGAUUACCAAAAUCUAUAUGCACUAGGAUAUCGAGAUCCUAGACAGUUUCAAGAAAAAACAACUCCCUUUAACAUCGGUAAAUGAAAAGAUGAUGGAAAAAAAUGGGUUUUAGGUUUGUCCAAUGAAGAUGGCAAGAUAGACAUGGAAAACCAAUUCGAACAAAUGUUGAAAAUCCAAUGGCAGACUUAGCUUCACCACUUGUAAAGAGGAGAAAAACUCAGAUUGAUAGGAGUGGAUCUCAAUCCUUCUUGCAAAAAUUGACUAAGGAAUCAUGUGAGGACUUUGAUGUAACAUAAGAUUAGGAAGAUGAUUUGACAAGUUGAUUGAAAGAAUUGGCGAUAGCCCUAUGGAUGAUGAUUUGGAGGAAGAUAAGAUUACAGAUGAAACUAAACUGGACAAGCCAGAUGAUGUGGAAAAUCUGCAAAAAUGGCAAGUGACUAACCUCCAGCAAUUGUGCAUGAGAAAGAAAAGGAAGUGGCCAAUGCCUUAGGAUCGAUUAAGAAUGUGUUGCAAGAAGUUGUAGCUAGUGUCAGUAAAGAAAAGCCUACUGAAAUGGACAAUGCCACUUUAUCAUAUCAUCCGGAAAUCGAAGAAGUUUCGAAUCAGCUAUAGGGUGAACAAGUGCUGAUAGAGGUACCCCAGGAUCCUAAUGAGAAUACGGGAGCAACCACUACAUAAAAGGUUGCUGCCUCAAUUGCAGAUGAAGAUGUUGUGGUGGUUGACAAAGAAGUGGAUGUAGAGAAAGAAGUAGAAGCAAACAAAGAUGCUCCAAUUGAGGGGGAACAAGUGCAGACUAUAGGGGUUGUGGAGACAGAGCAGGGCGGAAAGAAAAAGGACUAACCCCCUAGCAAUUGUGCAAGUGACUGACCCUCCAACAGUUACGUGAGAGAAAGAGAGGGAAGUGGUUGAUACCUUAGCAUCGAUUAAGGAUGUGUUGGAAGAAGUUGUGGCUAGUGUCAGUAAAGAAAAGCAAACUGUAAUGGACAAUGCUACUUUAUCAAAUCAUCCAAAAAUCAAAGAAACUUUGGAUUAGUUGCAGGGUGAACAAGUGUUUGCAGAGGUACCCCAAGAUCUUGAUGAGAAUACGGGAGCAACCACGGAGCAAAGGUUUGCUGCCUCAGUUGUGAAUGAAGAAGUUGUGGUGGCUGACAAAGAAGUAGAUGCAGAGAAAGAAGCAGAAGUAGACAAGGAUGCUCCAAUUGAGGAGGAGCAAGUGCAAACUGUUAAAGAAAAUUCAGUUAGUAUUUUGAAGUUAACAAAACAUUUCCAAAAGUCCAGUUUGAAGACUUGCAGACUCAAAAGUUAUUAUCUGAAGAACUCUAGACUCUUUUGUCAAAAUUUGAAGACGACGAGACUUUAGUCUAAAAAGUUUGCCCUCACUGACAGUUUCCAGACUGAAGAAUGAAGACUUAUCCAUAUACGGGAUUAUCUUCAAGAUUUUGAUUUGUAUGAUUUAUGGAUGACCUUAUAGCUGGAUAUAGCACAUAUUUGAUUGAUUAUCUUUAUCGGAUCAAUUCCGAUUUAAAGAUCUUUUGAAAGGCGAACAAACUUAGAAGGUUCUACUUAUGGAAACCAAAAAUCUUAAUUGUAUGGGUGAACAUAAUUGAUGAGCUUUCAUCACAAUCAUUUAACGAUUCGAAAAUCCCCUUGAUUAAUUCUGUCCAACGGGUAAAUUAGAAGAAUUCCUUUGGUAAGUGCCAACGGUUAUGAAGGCAUGAAGGAGUAUUUAAGGCGGACUCUCAAGUUGUUCGAAUGUGUGCAUGAAAGAAGAAUUCCAAAGUAUGAAGCUCUCCAGUUACUUAUUGUUUCAUUCAUUGAGCUUAAAGUUGUAUACAAAAGAAAGAGAUACUUAGUAAGACUUUAUGUGAGACCAGUAGAGACUCAUCACUAAGAAAGUCGAAGAUCACAAGUUGUAAAAUCUCUUUUGAUUCAUAGUGGAAUCUAGCCAGUGGGCUAUCAGCGCGAGAGAGUAGACGUAGGCUUGAUCUAAGCCGAACCGCUAUAAACCUUGUAUUCUAAUUCUCUUUCCUUGAACUCUUUACUUUCAUUCAUAUAUUUGCAUAUUCAUUUAAAAUUGAUUACGUUCAUAGUCUAUCAUUUUCUAAAAGCAAAUUACUUUUGCUAAGUCUUGUGAAAAUUUUUAUCUACACCGAUUCACCCCCCUCUAAGUGGUUGCACUAGUCCUUUCAAUUGGUAUUAGAGCUUGUGUGCUUACUUAUUGAAGUGUUUUUACUUCUUAAGCUAAAGAUUUAUGGGUAGUAUUUUGGCUCAAGGAUUGGUUGAAGGCCAAAGUAACACCAAACCUCCUUACUUUGAUGGGUAGGAGUACAAUAUAUUGGAAAAAAGAAAAAGAUGAAGGCAUUCCUGAGAUCGAAAGAUCCCUUGGAAUGGAAUGUGGUAGAAAAAGGGAUCAUUUCCAAAGCUACAUCAACCUCAAAAAGAGGAAAGGAAGUUGCAGAUGCUGGCGAAAUAACACAAGCAGAAAUAACCAAGAGACAAGCUCCUGAUGCUAAAGCUAUUUACUCAUUAUACUAUGCUUUAUCUCCAACUGAGUAUAACAGAAUUUCAUCUUGUGAAACAACAAAAGAAGUCUAGGACAGGUUGCAUGUUACCUAUGAAGGAACUGAUCGAGUUAAAGAAACAAAAGUCAAUAUACUACUUAGACAGUAUGAAGCCUUUAAGAUGAAGUCAGGAGAAUCCAUCACUCACCUGUUCAUUCGUUUCACGGAGAUUGUAAACGGUCUAGCAUAUCAUGGACAACCAAUCUCAAGACCAAUGAAGGUCAAUAAAUUGCUGCGUAGACUCUCCAAAGACUGGAAUCACAUUAAGACUUCAAUUAGAGAAACCUCGAGGAUCAUACCUCUUACAAUAAAUGAACUUGUUGGCACACUUCAAUCAUAUGAAGUUGAGCAAAUCAAUGAGGAAGAAUAUCCCAAAGGUAAGAAGUCGAUUUUUUUAAAAUCUAACGAUGAUUUUGAUAUUUAAGAUUCAGAAGAUGACUUGGACGAUGAAAAGCUAGCACUCAUGAUAAGGAAGUUCAGGAAGUUGAACAGGAAAGGAAGAAAGUUUAACUGGAAGAAGCGAAGCUCUCAAAGAUUUUAGAAGAAAUCAACUGAAGACAAUGAGACCAACAAAGAUGUGUUUUGCUUCGAAUGCAAGAAAAAUGAGCACAUUAGACCCAACUGCCCUCUGUUGAAUAAAAAGAAAGGAAAAAUAGAGAAAUUCAAAAAUGCUUUCAAAGUAGAGACAUUGAGUGAUACAGAAUGCGAAGAAAAUGAUGAAGAAUAUGCCAACAUAUGUUUAAUAGCAAAUUCAGAAUCAGACUCAGACUUUGAAACAAAUUCAGACUCAGACAAGAAAGUCGAUGUUAGUGAUUUAAAAAUUCAUAUUAAAGUCUCAAAAUAUAUAGAUGAACUCUAUCUUAGUCUCAAAACAUCUCUUAAAAGGACUUCCGAGUUAAAAAAGGGAGAAUUCUAGACUUAAGCAAUAUGAGAUUUCUUGGAAAGAAAAUUUUGAAAAUCUAGAUAAAAGUUUUGUUGAUUUGAAAGAAAACUCAGACUCUCUUUCGAAGGAAAAUGCCUUUUUGAAAGAAGAUAUUUCAAAUAUCAUGAAAAUAUUUUCAAAAGGUUAUGAGAAGUUGGAAAUGAUUCUUUCAGUACAAAGAUCUUAUUUUAACAAAUUUGGUUUAUGUAUGACACAUGAAAUUGUUCCUUUAAUUGAUUUUCCCAAAGUAAAUGAAAAAAUCAAAUAAAGACCUACAAAAACAUUUUAUAGAAAUCAUUUUUAAAAUUUUUUUGUAAAACCUGUUGGCCGAAGUGCUCUUAAAUGUUCAAAGUGUAACAGCUCAGAACAUUUUGAGAAGGAAUGUCCCAAAGUUUGGAGACCUAUUAAGAGAGUUUGGGCAAAGACUGUUUUUGUAACUAACUCCCCUGGACCCAAGAAAAUAUGGGUACCAAAGAAAACUUGAGUUCUUUUUAUGAUUGCAGGUCACUAUUAAGAAAAAAAGAUCAAAUGAUAUUUGAAUAGUGGCUGUUUGAGACACAUGACAGGAAAUCCUGUUCGUUUUAUAAAGANNNNNNNNNNNNNNNNNNNNNNNNNNNNNNNNNNNNNNNNNNNNNNNNNNNNNNNNNNNNNNNNNNNNNNNNNNNNNNNNNNNNNNNNNNNNNNNNNNNNUAUGAAUGGUGGAAAGUUUCUUUUGAUGGAAACAACAAAGGAAAAAUUGUUGGAUGUGGAACUGUGAAGAUUGAAAGUCUCACAAUCAACAAUGUCUCAUUGGUGGAAUGUUUGAAUUACAAUUUAUUUAGCAUAAGUCAAUUGUGUGACACUGGUUUCAAAAUUAAUUUUCAAGAAAGCAUUUGCUUGGGAAUUAGUAAAGAUUUAUCUCAGUCUUUUACUGGACGAAGACAUGGAAAUAUUUACCUUUUGGAUAUAAAACCAGAAAACUCUUAAUGUCUAAUUUCCAUUCAAGAUGAAGUAAAUCUUUGACAUCGAAAACUUGGCCAUGUUAACAUGAAGCAGAUUGCCAAGAUCUCCUCUAAGAAGUUUGUUCAUGAACUGCCCAACUUGACUUAUCAAAAGUCUGAAUUAUGUACACCAUGUGUUCUGGGAAAACAUGUUAGAAGUUCUUUUAAACCUAUAAAUCAAGUUUCUACUAAUUGAGUUUUGCAGCUUCUGCAUAUGAACCUUUUUGGACCAACCAGAACUCAAAGCAUUGGUGGAAAGAAAUACUGCCUAGUAAUCGUAGAUGAUUAUUUUUGCUUUACUUGAGUAUUCUUCCUAGCAAGUAAGUCUGAAGUAUUCUCUUACUUUUCAAAAUUUGCCAAGAAGGUUCAGAAUGAAAAAUAAUAUGCUAUUUCAAGCAUACGAACAGAUCAUGGAGGUGAGUUUGAAAAUCAAGACUUUACAAGUUUUUGUGAUGAAUUUGGUUUCCAGCAUGUUUUCUCUUCUCCAUAUACUCCAGAACAAAAUGGGGUUAUGGAAAGAAAAAAUAAAUCUUUGCAGGAGAUGGCAAGAACCUUCUUAAUUGAGAGUAAUAUUUCCUCUUGUUUUUGGGUUAAAGUAGUUUCUACAACUUGCUACAUCAUUAACAGAGUGUUCUUGAGACCUAUUAUAGAGAAAACUCCUUAUGAAGUAUUUAAAGAGAAAAAGCCAAAUGUUUUUUAGUUUCAUGUGUUUGGUUGUAAGUGUUUUGUUUUGAAAAAUGCAAAUGAUUGAACUGGUAAGUUUGAAGAAAAAUUAGACGAAGGAAUUUUUCUUGGCUACUCAACCUUAAGCAAAGCCUACAGAGUAUUCAACAAAAAGAAUCAGUCUAUGGAAGAAUCUAUGAACGUCAAGUUUCAAGACUCUAUGCAAAAUUAAGUUGACCAGACUCAACUUUAAGAAUCCGAACCUGCUCUAAACGUUAUAAAAUCUACUUCCCCCGAAGUAGUUCAGACUUCUAAAGUUCAAUAACAAAAAGAAUCAAAAGAUUCAACUGAAGCAGAAGAUCAACAAACUCUCACACCAACCAGCAACUGGAAGCAUAAGUCAAGUUAUCCUGAAGAACUCAUCAUUAGCAACAUUGAUGAAGGAAUUCGAACCAGAUCCAAAAGACGAGAAGAGUCUAGUGCCUUGGCACUUAUUUCUGAGAUUGAACCUAAAAGUAUAGAAGAAGCCUUAGUUGAUGAAAGUUAGAUUGAAGCUAUGCAAGAAGAGCUUAGACAGUUCAACAUUAACAAUGUUUGGAAACUAAUUCCUAAACCUAAAGGUAAGUCCAUUAUUGGAACUAAAUGGGUUUUCAGGAACAAAGUAGAUGAGAAAGGAAAAGUGAUCAGAAACAAAGCAAGACUUGUGGUCAAAGGAUAUACACAAAAAGAAGGGAUAGACUAUGAUGAGACCUAUACACUAGGAGCGAGGUUAGUUACUUUUGCUUGCUAUAAAAAUUUCAGGUUAUUCCAAAUGGAUAUAAAAAGUGCAUUCCUAAAUAGAUUCAUCCAAGAAUAAGUCUAUGUGGAACAACCACCUGGUUUUGAAUAUCAAAGAAAGCCAGAUUCAAUCUACAGACUAAAAAAGACUCUAUAUGGACUAAAGCAAGCACCUCGAGCCUGAUAUAAAAGGUUCAGUAAUUUUCUAAUCCAAAAUGGUUUUGUUAAAGGUAAAGUAGAUACUACCUUAUUCAUUAAAAGAGAAGAUAACGAUUUUCUACUUGUUCAAAUUUAUGUUGAUGAUAUUAUUUUUGGAUCACCUAAUGAAAAUUUAUGUAAGAAUUUUUUUAAAUGCAUGCAGGAUGAAUUUGAGAUGAGUAUGAUAGGUGAAUUAACUUCCUUUUUAGGAUUACAAGUUAAACAAUCAAAGGAAUGUAUCUUCAUUCAUCAAGAGAAGUAUGCGAAAAAUCUCAUCAAAAAGUUCUUCAAAGCUGAAUAAACGUGAAGGAGGAAAGGAUGUAGACCAGAAGUUAUACAGGAGCAUUAUUGGUUCACUUCUUUACCUUACUGCAUAUAGACCUGAUAUUUUGUUUAGUGUUUGUAUUUGUGCAAAAUUCCAAUCAAAUCCCAAAGAAUCUCACUUAAGUGCUGCAAAGCACAUCAUCAAAUACGUUGCAAUGACUCCAAAGUUAGAUUUGUGGUAUUCCAAAGAAAGAGACUUUACUCUCCUUGGAUAUUUAGACGCAGAUUUAGCAGGUUGUAGGGCUGAUAGAAAGAUUACUUUUGGUACAUGUCAAUUACUGGGCAACAAGCAUGGUUUUCAAGAAAACAAAAUACCGUAGCUCUUUCAACAGUUGAAGUAGAAUAUGUGGCUCUUGGGAGCUAUUGUUCCCAAAUUUUGUGGAUAAGGCAACAGUUUAGAGAUUUUGGAAUUGAAGAAUCAUGCACUGAGAUCAAAUGUGAUAACCCCACUGCCAUCAAUCUCACAAAGAAUCCAAUUCUUCAUUUAAGAGCAAAGCAUAUAGAGAUCCGACACCACUUUAUUAGAAAUCAUGUUCAGAACGGAGAAAUUAGGAUUCAGUUCAUCAACUCAAAGAAUCAGUUGGCAAACAUAUUCACAAAGCCAUUGGAGAAAAAUUUAUUUGAGUCUAUACGCGCCAGACUGAACAUCAUAUCUCUUAUCGAGUAAAGUCUGAAAAUGUUCAAACUCAAAAUAUCCAAAAGUUACGACUGUAAGUUAAUACUCUCUAAAUGAUUAUGAGUUUAUUUUUGGAUAAAGCUCCGAAAAGGUACGUUGAUUUUUGAAUCGAUACUUGCCUAUUUCAUUUUUAGGAAUUAUCCUUGAAUUUAUGGUGGUUUUUCAUUUUCAAAAUAGGUAGUUUUCAUUUUUGAAAAAUGCAGUUUUUACUUUUUCCUCUGUGACCUUUCAUAUACCCCGUUUCACUUGCUUUAUAUACAGUCGAAAUUCUUCUUCUCCAUUUACACUCAUUCAAACCCUAGAAUAUAGAGAUCCUAUUUUCUCUCAUUUCUCUUGUGUUUGAUCCAAAAAGCUUUCACCUUUUUCCAACAAACGAGAUCAAGAAAUCCUCCAAGACUUUGACAAUGUCUUUCCAGAGGAAAUCUUCGAGAAUUGCGAAUAGGAGACCACAGCACAUGCUUGAGGGUCCUACCCACUUCUAUUUAACUGAAGAAGAAGAUACUACUUAGUAACAACCACAACAACAUUCUCAACAGCGUCACUCCUCACAACAAACAACACAAGAUCCUCCACAAGCAGAAGAAGAGAUCAUUGAAGAUGUUGAAUCUAUAAGAACACAAAAACCCCAAUUUUUGUUUAGACUCUACUCGAACUUAAAGAUGGGUGGUGCUAUAAUGACUUUGAUCGAUGAGUUUCUGAAAACAAAUUGUUAUAAGAACGAAACUUUUUUCUUGAAUACCAUGGAAAGGUGAGGCAUUGCGCCUAAAGGGUUUUGUAGCAAUGACUUUUGCCAACUUUCCAAGUGAUCUGUGCGUUGGUGGUUUUAAUCAACCUGAAGGAAAGGACAAUGAUGAAAGGAUGUAUACCCAUUUUCAGCCUAGAAUGGGUGUUGAUGCAACUCUUUGUAGAGAGGGAAUGAGUUUAUUCUGUUCCAAGGACCACAAAAGGACUUAUUCAAAUCUACUAGAGAGAAGGGUUAUGAACCCUAGAAGUGUGGACUUUGAUUUUCUCAAUUAUUUGAAAGUGAGACUAAGGGAGAAGUUUGCACUUCUUCAACUUGAACGCUUUUGCUUAGAAACUACUGAAGCUUACCCUGAACUGACUGCUUACUUCUAUUCAAAUUUGUCUUUUCUAAAUGCGGAUAGAUUUUGUUUUACGUUUAGGGACAAAGAAUUUGUGGUUGAUGUGGAUAUAUUGGCUGAUGUGAUUGGUGUGGCAAGAGGGAGUUUCUAACCAAUCAGUGUGUCCGUUGGUCAUGCGACUUUGGCUCUUAUUCGGGAUAGAUUUGCUGAGGGCAUGAUUUCUUACACUAGAAUGAAUGCCUCCAAUAUUUUACUUCACAAGAUCGUGAUCAACUGCAUCAGACCCAAAUCCACAUCAAAAACUAAUGUCUCUCACUCUGAAGCGAAGUUGAUGUAUGCAAUCAACAUUGGCUAUAAGUUCUCACUGCCUCACACUAUCCUAAUGCACAUGUAUAGGACAGUUGUGAAGGAUAAGGGGCAACUACCUUACUCUGCGCUUGUCACUCAACUCUUUAAACAUUUCCAAAUUUAGAUUCUUGCUUCUCUAUGUGUUAGAAUCAUUGCGCCAAUGGUGAUUGGGCUGAAAAUGGUUUCAAAGAUGCGUCUAAAGGAGUUGAAUAAGGAAUUGGAGCGCUUGAAGGAGAAGACCCCUGUCAAGGCAAAACAAGACUCUACAGCAAUGAAAAGAAAAGGCAAGGAGCCCAUGACUGCACCAACCAAGAAGAGGAGAGCCCUUAUCUUGCAGGAUGAAGAAGAUGAGGACGAUAUCACUCUCUCUGCCUUACGUAAUUUAUGAAGUUUUGUUAGCUUCAAAGAGCCAGAGGACAGAGAGAAUAGAGAGAACAGAGAAAGAACAAAAACAAAGAAGAGAAGUGAAAAAAGAACAGAGGAAGGAGAAAGAGGAAGAAGAUGAUCAAGAUGACCCUUUUGAGCCAACAUAUGUUGUAUCCUUGUCUGAGGAUUCCGAAAAGACUCGGAGUGGAACUGUAAGAGACGAACAACAUCACUCGGAUGCUGAAGCAAAGUAAGGACAAGAAGAAGAAUUCUUUUCUCCACUUGAAGGCAUAGAAAUAGGGGGAGCUGUUAGAAAAAGAGGUACUUCUUCACAUGUCUUUACUAGUGAUAUAAGUAGAUCUCCAGCAGAUCCAUAGGAUGUCUAUGCCUCUCAAUAUCCUGAAGCAGAUGUAGAGGAAUCCACUCCUAGUCCUGGUGAUCAAACUACUAAUAUUCCCUCACAUCUCAAUACUCCUGGAAUUGAUUCGGCUGAACCUAGUGCUGCAACAGAACCAACAGCAGACUUUCAAAGGUUGUUGGAAAUCCUUUUGGGUGUGAAGGCUCAACAAUAUGGAAUGGAGUGAGAGAUCAAGCAUCUUAAAACAACUUUCUAGUCCACUUCAAACUCUACAUGAAUAGAUACAAGCCUUGAAACUUCAAGUGCAAGAAACCGCAAAGGGUGAAGAUAUUGAACAGCUGAAGGAGACUCUGAGGAAGCUAGAGGAGACUGUCAAGUCUAUGGGGGAUUUCCAAAUCGUUCGUAUCCCCAAACAACCAUGAUUUUUACCCAACUUUUUUUAUAGUCAUUCUUCACUUUUUACUGUGACAAAAAGGGGGAAAGUUUGUGCAGAUUUGACUGAUCUAUCUUUUUGGCUUGGAACCUUUUGAAAUAAUUUUAUGCUUGGUAUCUUGGACUUUGGUAUUUUUUUGUUGUACUUUUUGGUUUGGUUUUAGACUGACCUUGGAUUGUUUGGAUUUGAACUUUUUAAUGCUUGCACUAACUUAGAUUGUGAUACUGAUUACGGUUGGAUAGUCAUUUUGUCUUGCAGGACUAACAUGUUUUUUGUGGUUGCAGAAUCGAUGUUGUCCAGGUCUUAAUAAAAAAAAAUUUAGAUAUCAUGUAUUGCUUAAGUGUUGUUUUGCAGUUCAAAAUUAUUCAAAUCUGCAGGAAAGUUUUGUUACCAUAAAAAAAUGGGAGAUUGUUAGAGAAAACUCCAUUAGUGUUUUGAAGUUGACAAAACAUUUCCAAAAGUCCAAUAUGAAGUCUUGCAGACUCAAAAGUUAUUAUCUGAAGAACUCCAGACUCUUUUGUCAAAAUCUGAAGAUCGCGAGACUUUAGUCUAAAAAGUCUGUCCUCACUGACAGUUUCCAGACUGAAGAAUGAAGACUUAUCCAGAUGUGGGAUUAUCUUCAAGAUUUUGAUUCGUAUGAUUUAUGGAUGACCUUAUGACUGGAUAUAGCACAUAUUUGAUUGAUUAUCUUUAUCGGAUCAAUUCCGAUUUAAAGAUCUUUUGAAAGGCGAGCAAACUUGGAAGGUUCUACUUAUGGAAACCAAAAAUCCUGAUUGUAUGGGCAAACAGGAUUGACGGCUUUCAUCACAAUCAUUUAACGACUCGAAGAUCCCCUUGAUUAAUUCUGUCCAACGAGUAGAUUGAAAAAAAUUUCUUUGGUAAGUGCCAACAGUUAUGAAAGCAUGAAGGAGUAUUUGAGGCGGACUCUCAAGUUGUUCGAAUGUGUGCAUGAAAGAAGAAUUCCAAAGUUUGAAGCUCUCCAAUUACUUACUAUUUCAUUCAUUGAGCUCAAAGUUGUAUACAAAAGAGAGAGAUACUUUGUGAGACUUUGUGUGAGACCAGUAUAAACUCAUCACUGAGAAAGUCAAAGAUUAUAAGUUGUAAAAUCUUUUUUGAUUCAUAGUGGAAUUCAGUCAGUGGGCUAUCAGCGCAGGAGAGUGGACGUAAGCUUGAUCUAAGCCGAAUCACUAUAAACCUUGUGUUCUAAUUCUCUUUCCUUGAACUCUUUACUUUCAUUCAUAUAUUUGCAUAUUCAUUUAAAACUGAUUAUGUUCUUAGUCUAUCAUUUUCUAAAAGCAAAUUACUUAUGCUAAGUCUUGCGAAAUUUUUUAUUUACAUCUAUUUACCCCCCGCUAGGUGGUUGCACUAGCCCUUUCACAGACUACAAGGGUUGCAGAGAUAGAGCAAGGUGGAAAGGAAAAAGACAAUGAUCCAUCCAUUGAGAUCAUUCCUCAACCGAAGGUUACAGCUGAUUCCAAUGAUAACAUUCUUCGAGUGCUUAUGGAACUAAAGGAUGAGGUCAAGGAACUGAAAUAUCAUAUCAAGAGGCUCACACAAGACAAUGACCGAAGGGUAGAGAAGCUUGAGAACACAAUCACUCACAUGAGUCACUAUGUCCUUGUCUUUGUGCCUCCAGAUGAUCUCCCUUCUUCAAGUCCUCCAGCUCAAGACCCAAACCAGCCCUCCACCUCUAAAUAAUCUUUUAGUUUCUUUUCAAAAGUUCUAAGACAAUUUCAUUUGUGUUGGCUUGUUUUUUGCUUGAACUAUCAGUUUGCUUUAGUUUGUUAUUUGGGUUUGCUAUGUCAAUUUGCUACUGAGUUUUGGACUUAUGGUUGCUAUUAUAUAUAUUAUAUGGCUUGCUAUUACCUUUUGUACUAUUGACAAAAAGGGGAAGAAAUAUGAGGACGCAAAAUUUUGUGGAUUUUGAUGUGAUAAUGCAAGGAUGUUGAUGCAACGUGAUCCAUAUUUUGAAGAUUUAUUUCUCGCAAGAUUCGUUAAAGCUUUCCUAUCUCUUACCUUGCAAGAUUUGGAAUAUCUAUAAGAAUCAUAAUCUUUUUAUCUAUCAUUCUUAUAUAUAAAGAUUGCGCUUUAAUUAAAAAUCUUCCUAUUUUCAAAGCUUUACCAAAAUCAUUUCUUUUAAAAUGAUUUUGCUGUGAAAGUUUUGUCAUCAUUAAAAGGGGAGAGACUAUUAAGGAAAAUUCCCUUAUUAGUUUUGAUGAUUAACAAAACUUUCUUUAAUUGUUCUUUAUUUCUGAUGGUAAGAUUUUUCAAGUGGAAACUGUGAUGGUAAGACUAUUAGACGUUACUCAUUAGACUUAGAAAAUCAAACUCUAAAUGUUGAAGAAGUUCAUAUCUUUGAUAUUCAAUACUUGGGGAUAUUGAUAGAGAGAGUAAUCUUCAUGCAACGGCUAGAAAUUUGGUGGAUUCCUUGCUAAAAUUAAAAGAUCUAUCCAAGAAGGAAAUUAUAUCAUAUCAAAUCUUUCAAGAUGGAAUAUAGCAAGACUUGGAUAAAUCAAUCUACAAGAGGCGAAACAUUUUUUCCAAGUGAAGCGAUUUUCUUAUAGAAACUCUAUCUACUGUAUAGGCGGCAAAAUCAUUGAGAGACUUCAAUCUUAGCAGCCUUAAAGCAAUAAGAUCUUCUAACAACAUUCAAAUUCAAUGGGUAGAUUGGAUGGACGAUCCUCUAAGGUUACGUCCAACGGUCAACUUGGAGAAAAAGGAUUAUAAAAGAAGGUCGGGAUGCUGAAAGGAAACAAGAAGCUGAAAUUCUAAAGUUUAUAAUUCCUAAGUCUUGAGGAUCUUCAAUCAUAUAUAUUUGUUUCUAUGAAGUAUACUGUGUAAUCUUUUAGAGGCUGACAGUGUGUGAGGAAUUGUUCACACAAGCUUGAAUAGUCAUUACUCAGAUCUUGUUCCUUUGAUAGAUUCAUCUAGUGAAUUCAACCAAUUAGCUGUUAGCGCGAGAGAAUGGACAUGGGGUUACAAAAGCGGACUGACUAUAAUCAUUUGUGUGUAAUUUUCUAUUCCUUACUCUCUUUAUUUUACUUGUGAUAAAAGUUAAUCGCACACUAAUAAGAUCUGAAAAGUACUCAACUUGUUGCAGACGUUGUAACGUUUUAAAUUUAUUUUAUUCCGUACUAUCACCUAUUCACCCCCUCUAGAUAAUCCAUGUAGCUCUAACAAUUUAUAUGUUGGAUGUCGAUGGUUCACAAGUGUGCAUAUUGAUACUUUGUCGAACCAUCUCUAUUCUCAAUGGUCAUUGUCUAUUCAUAUACGAAGACACAUGCGAGCGCAAUGUAGAAUCUAUCUUCUUGGUAUACAUAUGUAGAUAUACAAGAUAAAAAGUUGAUGUUGUAUGCGAUCUAAUAAUGAUAUUGUAUUGAAAUCGUCGGCCGGAGUUGUAAUCGAAAAUGAAUGGUUCAUAUCUCAUAGAAUACAUGUCAAUUAGAUUUGGGCAUAUGAUUGAAUUGGUAGCUUGACAUAUGGUUCCAUGGCUUUUAUUCGAUUGGGACAUGAUGAGACAGAAUGAUCAAAUUACACAGUCACCAAAGCUAAUAGAUUCAUUAUGUUCUUGAAACAUUCGCACUAUCUUUGUAGCCAUAACACAUUGCUAGAUGUCAUUCAUGGUUUAUAGGAAUCGGAGAUUGAUCAAGACAAUCAAUUCUCCUGGUUGUGCUAAUGUGUUAGUACAAAUCUUGCUGCCAGUUCAGUGAUGAACCUAGGGAUAUUACACACUAUAACCAAUUGGAAUGACGUUUGAAUGAGGGAGACAAUAUUGCAAAUGUGUUUGCAAUUGAGCCAAUUAGAUUGAGUCAGAUUGAAAAUAAAAGAUCUGAAAGUGGCUUCAAAUUUUAUGGUCAAAUCAAAGAUCUAAAGCAUGUUUCAAAAUUUAUAGUAGAAUCAAAGAUCUAAAGUGGGUUCAUAUUCAAUGACCGAAUUAAUAAUUUGAAAUGAGUUCAGAAUUAAUAGCCACAUUAAUGAUCUAAAGUGAAUUCAUAAUUAAUUGCAUCAUUAAUGAUUUAAAGUGAAUUGGAAUCAAUAGUCAAAUAAUGAUUUGGAACGGUUUCAAACUUAAUGACUAAAUUAAAUAUCUAAAACGGUAGUUUUAACGAUCACAUUAAUGAUUUGAAAUAAUUUUAGAAUCAAUGGGCAGUUUAAUGAUCUGAAACGAUUUCAUAUUCAAAUGACCAAUUGAUAAUUUAAAACGGUUUCAAAUUUAAUGGUCAAAUCAAAUAUUUGUAACAGUUACAAAAUUAAUGCCCAGAAUAAAGUCUUGUAACGAUUACAAAUUAAUGCCUGGAAUAAUAUUCUCUAACGGUUACAAAAUUAAUGCGCGGAUUAGUGUCUGAAACGGUCUCUGAACUUACGUCCCUCAAAUGUUACGGUUGAAUUAAUUCUCUAAAACAAUUUUAGAGUUAAUGAACCAAUUUAAAGGUGAUCUGGGAUUAAUUAUAAAAGGCAAUUGAGAGAGCUGAUCACAAGAUGAUUGACAAUCGACAAUUAAAAGUGUUAAUAGUGAUCAACUAAGUCAUUCACACACAAGAACAAUUGCUAGCACAAUUGUAAUGGUGAGAUCUCUCAAUUUAUCUCUACUAUUCAACGUAAGAUUGGUGGUGUGUUUGAAUUAGAGGCUCGACAUUUGUGGGGUUGGAUUUGAAGAACGUCAGAACCUGCAUUAUGGGGAGAUCAGACAUUUAUAGUUAGAAUCUGAAGAAUGUUAGAACUAGUAUUAUCAGAAGACAUUAGACAUUUGUGGUCGGAAUUCCAAUAAUGUCAAAAUCAAUGUUGCCAGAAGAUUAAACAUUCAUAGUAAGAAUCUGAAAAAUGUUAGAAUCAAUGUUAUGAGGACAUCAAACGUUUGUGGUCAAAAUCUGAGGAACAUCAUAAGCAAAUUUUUGGAGCACGGUCCAAAAUGUGUGAUUAGCCCAUUUAUCACUUCUAUGUACUUUUAUUAAAAUGCAUGAACAAUGCUUUGAAAAUACGUGUAUGGACGUUUUUACUUUUGUUACUUAUCAUUUUGAUUCAAAUUUAUCUAUGCAUGUAUUCUUGUUUAUCAAAACAAAUCCCAACAUUGUCUUCAUGUGGGGUCAAUAUGGCAGAUGUGUCACUUGAAGGUCAAUCUCUCUCUCUCUCUCUCUCUCUCUCUCUCUCUCUCUCUCUCUCUCUCUCUCUCUCUCUCUCUCUCUAAGUUUGAACUUUUAAUAUGCAUACUAUCUGUAUGACAGAGACUACCAAAGACAAGCAGAUUCGACAUAAUCCUAAAAGAGAGAUGCCAGAAUGGAUUUUCCACGAUAAAGGGGUUCAACAUCUUUCAUAAUUCCCGAGGACUUGUAUGACAAGUCCUCGAGACUAGCACUCUCUAGCAUUCUUGGCUUGGAAGAAGAAGUGGUCAAUGCUUCAUGUGAGGUCAAAAUAUUGGUUAAAGGCCAAAGUUUGACUUAAAACUUGAAAUUAUUUUUUUCCUUGGAAUCUUAUCAUGUGAGGCUUGAAUAUUUAACACUCGUUAGACUGUGUGAACCAUGGACGCUUCUGCAAAAGGAUUGGUGUCAUUGCCAAGUUUGCUUCGAAGCAAUGAAAGUAAGCACAAAGAAGUGUGGAUUUUGUCUAACAUGCAAGUAAGAGGAGGAUGAUCUGAGGGUCUGCACUCCAACACCAUCAGCUGAUAUAAAAAAAAAAUAUGGAGUUUUAAGGAAAGAGACUCAAAGGAAGACAAUUGUCAAUAGACACCGAGGAAGAAUAUAGUCCGGUGGAACAAAACUUAAACAAAGAAGAUGAAAUGGUCUUUACUGUGGCAAGAGUAUGGCUUGCAAAACAUGCCUGUCAAAUUGGUCAUGACUUGUUGAGGAAAUGAUUCCAAGUGAUUUUGAUUCCAAUGUCUCUCACUUUUCCCUUUUUUCGUCUCUAGUAGAAAUUUGAAAAUGUCUGCUCUUUCAACCAGAAUUUAAAAUAACUAUGAAAUAGAGGUUUCACCUCAUGAUGUUGACAUGGUUGAGGAACUUCUUCGUUUUCCUCUUCUUUUUUUUCUUUUUUUUAUGAUUUGUGAUGCUAAGUGCAUAAAUUCAAAAUUAAAUGGAUGCUUGUUGAAUGGCCAUUGGUCUUCCAAGUUGCUCCGUGUAAUUUAUCAUAUGGACCUCUGUCACCUCUCUUAAUUCAAUUAAUGAUGCCAGCACUACAUACUCUAAAAAUUUAGAUGGUAAGUUUUGCUCAAUCUAAUAUAAUCUAUAUCUUUGGGAAAGUGUUGAUUAAAUUGUCUCACUGAUCAUGAGGUACAAAGGGAGAGCUUUAUCUUUAAGAUUUUGCAUUUAAGUCAAGGACAUUGACAUUGAUAGGUACAAAGGGAGAUUAGUUGAUUCCUCCGUUGUGACUGGCAGAUUGCAUUAAUAGGUACAAAGGGAGAGCUUGAUCUUCAAGACUUUGCUUUUAAGUCAAGGACACCGACAUUAAGCAACUAGCGUUUGGUAAACACCUUGUAAAAUAUUUGCUGCAAAGCAAUUUUAAAAUAAGAAAAAAGAAAAGGAGAACAAAGGACUAUGUAGAUGCAUAUGAAAGCACAGGCGAGCGGCACAAUGGUGGGACCGAUUCUAGCAUUGCACGACCCCAAGUGAUGUGUCAUUGAGGUUGAGCGAGCCCACACAACGCAACGUUAGUGUUGUGGGACCCCAAGUGACGCAUCGCCAAGGCCACCCGCUAGGUAACGUGACACUUGACCCUCAGCGAGCUAAAAUUGAGCGACCUUGAUCAAGCUUCCAAGCAUUGUGCAACUAUCGACGAGCUAGAUCUAGUGUCAAGCAAUCCUCAACAAAAGUUGGGGACUUAUCUUGAGCUUUGAAUAUUUUCAAAACAAAAAUUUGUACAAAAAAUCUUUGAAAUUGUGUUACCAAAUGUCAAAACUUUGAAUCAAGGGCAUUUGGAGGCCCAAAACAAGUUAAUUCGGACACUCAAAAUUUUUAAUGGCUAAAUUAGAUGGGAUUGAAGCGGAAGGUGAAAUUGGAAUAUACCAAAAUUGCCUUUAUAUUCUUCAUCGGCUUACAUUAAAAUUCAAUGAUGUAGAAAUGACAUUUGCUGAUUUCUCAAUCCAACAUCUUAAGCUAAAUAUAAGAUUACUAUAGUCUCCACACAAGUGACCUAAUCACAUUAUGAGAGAAUGAGAUAUCAAAAGCUCAUUACUAAACUAUCACUUACAAUCAUUAGAGGUUCAAGAUCAUGUGCACGGCGAUGUCUUUUUUCAAUAUCUAAUUUCUUGGAUCGUGACAUGUAUUUAGGUCUCGUAUGAUUCACCAGUCAUAACAUCACUCCUUCGCUCCUUCUCUCUCUCUCUCUCUCUCUCUCUCUCUCUCUCUCUCUCUCUCUCAUGUGCAAACAAAUUUAUACUCCACAGAGGACAGGAAAGAACUACCAACGCUAGUGACCCUCUUUUGGAUGUUACCCCAUAAAGAGUAUUGUUGACCUCUAAGUUUUGUCCAUUGUCCAAGUGUCCAUUUUGGGCAAAAACAUAAAAGCGCUAGUGACCCUCUUUUGGAUGUCACCCCAUAAAGAGUAUUGUUGACCUCUGAGUAUUGUCCAUUGUCCAAGUGUCCAUUUUGGGCAAAAACAUAAAAGUGCAAAUAAUAAUAAUUAGAAUUAGUUCAGCCCAAAAUCUAAUCCCCUCAGCCCAUCUUUUAGUUCCCUUUGAGCCCAUUUCUUUUGUUCCUUUUGUUGUCCUCAAUAGCCCAUCUGAACUUAAAACAAGAAGGCCCAGGCCAUAUCCAGGCCCCUUCUCUUUCGCAUGCUCACGUCUGUGAGCGAAGAAGACGCGAGCAGCGACCGAGCAAGAGAGGCGUCCGUGAGUCGGUCCGUGAGAGAACAGCGAGAGAGGGAAAAUAACAUAAAAGAUUCCUUCUCGGAGAGAGAGGGGAGGAGGACGCUCGACGACAUGGAGAGUGCGUGCUUGACGAUAUAGGUGAGCAGGGAGCUAGCUCGAAUGGGAGAGAAAGGGAGAGUGCAUCCCGUUUCGGAGUAGCAGAAAACCGCAUCGCUGGAGUCCGCCGUCGGUUUUCAGACCUCCGGUCAACGGCCAAUCCGUGAGUUGUUCUUCACAGAGUCGGUUUCGAAGAUCAGACGAAUACUGAGAUUUCUUCCGCGAGCGGAGGAAAAUCUCUAACCAGACGCCCUUCAUCGUCGUCAAUCGAGACCUCGAUUCGCCAAACAAACCAGGUACAAUCUCGCUCCAAACGCUCUACUUUGUCUCUGUUUUGGCCGAGAAAGACAUGCUCGAUUCGAUCGAUUUUCUUGAAGAGAUCUUGAUAAAACGAAGUUGUUUUGUUGCUAUCCAUGGUGUUUUAAGUCUGUUCGUAACGUGUGAGGCUCAGGAUCUAGUUAAAAUUAAAACAGAAAACCAUUGAAAGAUUGCGUAUUGCAAGUUUGACAAAAUGCCUACAAGAGGCCGAAUGUCAAGUCCCGUCUAAAUUCAAGAUCGAUUCGUACUUUCUGUGUUUUUUGUUGAAUCAUAUCUAAUACUAGCAUUUUCUCUGUGUUUCUAUGCGAUUUGAUGAUAAAUCUUUGCUUGAGUCCAACGUACAUGCGUAUCCCCAAGGCCGGAAAGCUUUUUGUCAGAGUUCCCCUUGCACCAGCGAAGUCAGCGUUUCAGGGACAUACUAGUUAGCCCAUCUCACUUCAUUCUAAUGUAUUUUUGCUUGUUAAUUUGUUGGGAUGCUGCGGUGAAAAGUGUGGAUUAGGUAGGAUGGUUUUUGUUAAGUUUUGCGAUAAUGGAGCAGGCGGCCAGAGGAGGUCAACGUCGCUCGGAAUAAAUGAUCGGCGGCUGGAGAUAGAUGGGCGGUAAUCUAAGUUCUGGUGAUAAACUCGUCAACGAUGGUAUUUGUUUCGUUAAAAAAAAAAAAAAAUGGCGCGAAAGGUGGGGUUGCAGGUUGAAAAUGGCGUUCGGGUAAAGGAUGUCCGGAGGAAGAAGAGGAAGUGCAGGCAAAAAAAGACAAAAAAGAACAAGAGACAAAAAUAAAAGAAUUAAAAAAUAGAAAAAAAAUCAAAACAUUAAAAAAUCCAGUUUUAAUCGGACGGGGGUGGGAUCCGGAUAUACGGAUCGGGUAAACAAGUCCGAACCCAUUCCCCGAAUAUAAUAAUAAUUAUUAAAAUUUUAAAAAUCCAAAAAGUCAUUAAAUCUAUAAAAAUUCAGAAAAUGAUAAAAAAAGAAAAUAAUAAAAAUUUAGAAAAUUCGAAAAUCAAUAAAAAUCAGAAUUUUUAGAUAAUCAUUAAAGAUUAUAAAAAUCCGAAAAAUCAUUAAAAAAUAAAAAGUAGAUAAAAACAUUUAAAAUUUAUAAAAAUUUAGAAAAUUCAUCAAAUAUUAAAAAAUAGAAAUCCAGAAAAAGAAAGAAUUCGAAAAUCAUUCAAAAAUUCAGAAAAUUAUAAAAAAAAAGUAAAAAAAAAAAAAUUAGAAGCCCUUAGAAAUUGAAACCCAUAUUUGGCCAAGUCUUUAGAGUUUUACAAUAGGGUUCUUUAGGCCCUGUUUGGUAACCAUCCAAACAGAAUCAAAUUCUGAUUCUUUGUUCCCAUAAUUAGUUUGGGCCUAAAAUCGCGUUUGGUAAAAUUUUUGUUCUCGGGAACAGAUUGGGAAUAGAAUCAAGAACCAAAAAAAAAAAAAAGUUGAUUCUUGUUUCGGGAACGAAUUUGAGAAUCAAAAUCAAGAAAUCUUCUUCUUCCCUUCGGCCAUCUCGCGACCGCCGUCCACCACCGCCCACCACCGUCCGCCGUCCGCCGCCAUCAUCCACCGCCGCCGGUCCGGCGAGCUCGCUGGAGGCAAGCCUAGCCACCGGCAAGGCUCGGCCUCACCAGAUCUGGCAAGGCCGAGCCUUGCCGGGGCUAGGCAGGGGCUAGGCAAGCCUUGCGACGCCCAACCCCACCGGUGGCCUGGCGAGGGUCGCCCAGCCUUGGCGAGGCUCACUUGGCCACCGGCGAGGCUCGCCCAGCCCUACCGGUGGCUUAGUAGGCCUCACCUAGCCCCGGCGAGGCCGGCCUGGCCACCAGCGGGGCUGGGCUCACCUCGCUGCUGGCGUGCCUUGGGCGGCGAUGCUCUGGUGAGGUCGCCAGCCACAAGAAGAAGAGAAGAAGAUGAGAAAAAGGAAAAAAAAAAAAAAAAGGAAAAAAAAAAGGGAAAAAAAAAAGAAAAGGAAAAAAAGUAAUAAAAGUAAUAAAAUUAUUUAAAAAUUAAAAGAAAUUGAUUUGGAACAGAAUUAAUGAGUACGGUACGAAACGCAAUUCUAUUUCAGAAUCAGAAAUUUUGAACAGUUAUCAAACAGCUUAAAAUGAUUAGAAUCAGUUCCCGGGAACAGAAUCAAAAAGAAUCAGUUCUGAUCAGAAUCUACUCCUAGAAACAGAAUCGUUACCAAACGCGCUCUUAGUGGUUUGGAAUUUUUUUUUUUUUUUAGGAACAAUAUUAGGGAGUUUUAUGUUUUCUUUUUAUUAUACUCGGUUGUACUUUUUAAUAUAUUGGAUGUUAUUUAUUUUUUUUUUUUUAGAAUGGUUUAGACAAAACUUAAAUUUCUUCGAUAGGUUGCUAUGGCUUUAGUUAACAUAAUCAAAUUAGAUACCGAAAAGGCAUUAGUCUUAGGGCUAACGUAAUUAAAUUCUCGAGUCUAUAAUCUUUGAUUAUAUAAUAAUAAGAUAUUCUCUUGUAUCUUAUUGAUUUCUAAUCGCCCCCUAAAAAAGCUAGUGACCACUUUUUUGUUAAAAUUUGCAUACACUAAAUUGAUUGAAAUUUUCAAUAUUUAAUGCCAUGCAAGGUAUGAAUCUGGGAGACCUCGACUCAAGGAAUGGUCAUCGGUCUUAAGUUGACAAUAACCCUAAACCUAACAAUGAGUUAGGUCACGACAAGUAUAUACUAUCUUUUCAUUCAAAAAUAUAUAUUUUAAUUCACAUCUUAUGCAAUGAGAGCAAGAGCAACACCAUUGAUUGAAAAUGAUUAAUAAAACCCGAAGCAAUGUACCGAUUUCUAUUUAUUUAUCAGAUCAUUCCGUUUUACCAACCUUCCUUAUUGUUAUGAUUUAUUUUGAGUUAAAAACGUUUGAGAACAAAAUCCAAAAGGAUGACUCUACAAAAUUGCCACACGAAAACCAGCAAAGCGCGAAGCAAUGUUGGGCAAAUUCACGAGAAAAAUCCUAGGGCGACCCGAUUUGAAACAAGCUCAUGUCAAAAUGGGCGUCUUAAGACUGAAACGAUGGACCGUUUCUCUUGCUAGCUUAAUUGGAACAUGAAUGAGAAUAUGGUUUGGAUUCGCUUUACAUUUCAUGAAAAUUUUUCUUCCCUACUUUAAAAAAAAAAAAAAUUGUUCCCAGCAUGAUAAUGAUGAUGAUGAUGUUAUUAUUAUUAUUAUUAUUAUUAUUAUUAUUAUUAUUAUUAUUAUUAUUAUUAUUAUUAUUAUUAUUAUUAUUAUGCUUUAGUUUUUCUAGGUUCUAAACUGGCCAAAGAAAUAAAUCAUGUGCUAUUGUAGUUGAUCAGUGCGGUUAAUUCACAUGAUUUUACUUCCAAAAAAGCUAAAAGUAACUCUAUUUGAGUAUUUUGUAAAUUCUCGAAUGCAGAAUUUGGUGUCAGCUAAGCCCGAAGUAAAUUUUAACGCAUCCCGAUCAUGAAAAUGCUUUGACAAAGCGUUCGUUCAUAUUAGUAGUUUUAGGGCACGUUUGGUAACGUUUCUGUUCAAAAAUUGUUCCAAGGAACAAAAAUAGAAAAAACUAUUUCUGCUCCGAAAAACAAUUUUUGAACAGAAGAAGGCGUUUGGUAAACUUGUUCCGAGAAUAAAAAAUGAACAUAAACACGUUUGGUAAAUUUUUGUUCUUUUUUUUGUUCUUUUAUUUUUAAAAUUUUAAUUUUAUUUUCUUUACUUUUCCUAUUUCUUUUUUCUCCUAUGCUGGGUUGCUAGCCCUCGCCCCAUGGCUGGCGACCGACUGACCGAGGGCCGGCGGUCUCGCGACCCACGGCAAGGCUCGCCGACCCUUGCGAGGCCGAGCCUCGCCGUGGUUGGGCGAGGCUCGACCUCGCUUGGCUGGGCGAGCUUGGGCUUGCCCAAAUUUGGCGAGCCCGAGCUCAACCAGCCUUGCCCCACACUAGCGAGGCUCGGCCUCGCCUUGGCCGGCGAGCCCGAGCUCACCCAGCCACCAAUGAGGCCAAGCCUUGCCGGGCCACCGCUAGGUCGACGAGCCUCGCCGGUGGCUGGGCGAGCUUGGGCUCGCCGGAUCUAGGUGAGCCCAAGCUCGCCCAACCAAGGUGAGGCGAAGCCUCGCCAGGGGCCGGCGAUGCUCCAACGAGGUCGCCGGCCAUGGCCGAGGCCGGCGACCGACCAAAGUAAAAAGAAAAGAAAAGAAAAAGAGAGGAAAGAGAAAAUUUGUUUUUAAAAAUUGUUCCAGAAAUAAGAAACAUAUUUUUAUUGUUUCUCGUUUCUGUUCCAAAUGUGUUCCUAGGAACAAAAAAAUAGAUUUGGAACAAAAACGCAAACAAAUGCGUUUCUGUUCUUUUUUUGUUCCCUGUAACAAAAAAACAGAAAAUUUUGUUCAUAAACAGAAAAAAAGAAUGUUAACAAACAGGGCCUUAACUAGUAUCUUUAGGGCACUUCUACACUUUUAAACACAAUUUUUUUUUAUGUUAAUUGUAAUAAACUCUUCAAUUUUUUUUUUUAAAUUCAAGGGAUUUUAUUUUCGCUCUAUAAAAAAUUAGUUCACUCUUAAAUUAUAAUGCGAUGGUUUUCAAGUGGAACCCAUGUUAGGAGAUCACUCGGCAAAUCGACAGCCGUCAAGUUCAGAUUUUGGAUGAAUAACGGCAUAGGGAAGGGAAAGAAAAAUAAAAAAACCAGAUAAUCUCUUUUUCCAUAACAGUCUCCAAGCAAUAAUGAACUUCAUCUUAGGAGCCAUAUGAAGAAAAUGACACCCAGUCACAACCGCAAAAACCUAUCUGAAAUUGAUUCCUAGAAAAUAACUUGGCCAAAAAAAUCCCAUCAAUUAAUUAAUCUCUAUCUACUUCUUAUAGAAAAAUGUCAAAAGUAGAGUAAUCUUGAUUUCGAAUCUUGCGCCAAUGACAACCACGUUGAUGACUUAAAGCAUUCUCAGUCACGUCAAGUUUGGGCCAAGGUCUUUUCUAGACAAUGACUUCUUGACAAUAUUUAUCAUUCCAUAAAUAUCAUCAAGGGGUCAAAAAAAUUCGAAGAAACAAGAGAAAAAGACUAAUGCGAAAGGAAUUGCGUAUAUUUUCAUUUUUUAUAUUUGCAAAUCUUUACUUUUUAGUAUGUAAUCCUCUAACAAUCAAGCUAUUUGAUGGUCAUAGUAAAUACUCUGUCAUCCCACUCUUAAAAGAGCAUGUCCCAUAUUUAUUGUUUGUCUAGACUAAUCUAUCUUCCGUUAAUUGUGAAUUUAAAUGAAUAACAAUAAUUUUCAUAGUUCGUCAAAUAGUUCCCUCGAAGUGCUUCUAAAAGGUCUCAUCUAUCCUAUCAUUCGCCUAUUGCAUAUCAAGUUUCAGCAUAGCUGGCAACUUCUUAUUGCUUGCAUGCACUCUUAGAGGGCAACAUCUCCUGAACAGAGUAUAUUGUCUUGAAUUUGAUAGCAACGGACAAAAGCAUUUUGUUCUAUGUAGAUAAUAUCCAAAACUAAUGAUUCUAAUCUGUUGGUCAUAAUUUUGUAGACAAAAUUACACAGGCUAAUGGGACGAAACUAUUUCAGCUUUUCUAAGUAGGGCAUUUGGGGAAUAAGUAUAAUUUAGGUUUUAUCUGCUUUAGCAUUUAAGCAUCCGGUGUUCUAAAAGCAAGUUAGUUCUUGAAAAACAUCGUGUUGAAUGUCCUCCUAGUGAUGUUUGAAAAAAUGUCCACUUAAACCAUCGGGACUGGGGGCUUUGAGAGCUCCUAACUAGCGUACGGUUUUUGAAAUUUCUAGUAUGGUGACCUUAGCUAUCAACUUUCAAUCCAUAUAUUCCAAAACUAAAGUUGGAAUAUGUUCAAUAAUUGGUUGGAAAUUCCUUUGUCUUAACGACAUAUAUAAACUCUUAAAGUAUUCCACCAUCAUUUGCUUUGGAGCAUUAGGUUCACGUGUCCACUCCCCAUCAAUAUUAGCAAUAUAGAGAUUCUGUCUUCCUACCUCCUUGAAUAGUUGUUGCAUGAAAAAUUUUGGAGUUUUUAUACCCCAUUUCAACCAGCUAAUUCUAGAAUGCAUGCCCCCAAAAAAUUUCUUCGCUUUUCCACAGUGAGCCAAUUUCCUUUUUUCAAUUUCGAUAUCUUUUCUUUACUUUGGGAAAUAUCUGGGCUGUUUGUUAUAUUUUUGAUUUCUUGCUUUAGUAUCUCAAUUCUCCUAUGAGAAUUUUUUUCCUACUCCAAGAUGCAAGGGUCAUUUUUCACAAUUUAGUUAUUACGGGCCUGUUUGGCAAUGUGCCAAAUAGUGUCUGAUUUUGAUUUUUUGUUCCCAGAAUCAGUUUGGGACGAAAAUCGCGUUUGGUAAAAUUUUUGUUCCUGGGAAUAAAUUUGUUCUCGGGAACAUAUUGGGAAGAGAAUUGAGAAUAAAAAAAAAAAUGAUUCUCCAUCCAAGAAUCAAAAAAAGAUCAAGUGUCCUUCUUCCCUUCCGACAUCCCGCAAUUGCCAUCCACCACCACUCGCCGCUGUCCGUUAUCACUCGUCGCCUCCGUUCGCCGCCGAUCUGGCAAGCUCGCCAGGCAAGGGCGAGGUCCAGCAAGCUCACCGGAGGCAAGCCUUGCCUCUUGGCGAGGCCGGCCUGGCCACCGGAGGGGCUAAGCGAGCCUCGCCGACAGCUGGGCGAGGCCGAGCCUUGCCGGUGGCCAAGCAGGCCUUGCCUAGCCCAGCUGCUGGCAAGGCUCAGCCAACAAGAGCCGACCUCGCUGAGGGCCAGCUACGCUCCGGUGAGCGUUGCCGGCCCUUGUUUGGCUGAUCCCCGGUCUGGCAAUCGGCCAAAUGAAGAAGAAGAAGAAUAGGAGAGAAAGGGGAAAAAAAAGAAAAAACAAAAGGAAAAAGGAAAAAGAAAAUGAAAAUGAAAAAAGUAAAAAAAGUAAAAAAAAAGUAUUUAAAAAUUAAAAGAAAUUAAUUUGGAAUAGAAUCAAUUAGCACGGUAUCAAACGCAAUUCUAUUCCAAAAUAAAAAAUUUUGGACAGUUACCAAAUAUGUUUUUUUUACUCAUAAUCAGUUCUCGGGAGCAGAAUAAAAAAUAAUCAUUUAUAGUCAGAAUCAGCUCCCGGGAGUAUAAUCAUUACCAAACGCGCCCUAAAUCAGCUGCUUCUUGCUUGGGAGAUAACCAAACCCCAUUGACAAUAUUUCCAUGCUCCUCGUCCUCUAAGCAUUAUGUUUCAAAUCUAAAUUCUUUUGCUUUUUCCACUGGUUGUGGGAAUAAUCUGAGCAAGAUAGGACUAUGAUCUGACCAACAGCAAAUAAAGCAAAGACUUCCGUGUCUGGAAAAGCACUACCUGUUCAAUCAUGCAUAAGACUCUAUCUAGUUUCUUUUUGACAAAUUCCUCCCAUUCUUUAUUAUUAUCCCAAGUAAAAGCACAUCCCUUGCUUUCCACUUCUAUAAUAUCACAAUUGUUUAGGAAGUUUCUAAAUGCUACUAGUCAAUAAUUGUUAGCCAUCCUCCUCCCCACCUUCUCCCAAGGAUAGAGUAUUUCAUUAAAAUCCCCUACAUACAUCCACCGUAGAUGGUUCGGAUGUUUGAUACCUUCCAACUCCUUCCAUAACAUUUGUCUAUCAUGAAAUACAUUGUGUGCAUGGAUACAAGAUAUAUGCAUUUGUAACUUAUGAUCUUUUAAUUCACAUAAUAUAUCAAUAAAAUCUAUCGAUAUUUUGCUUCAUGGAAAUUGCUAUCGUGGAUGCAAGUACUUUCCCUCUAUGAGCGCAUGUCUUGUUAAUAUCCUUUGACAGGGGAAGGGUAAAGGAAAGAGGAGGGGAGGGGGACCACAUUGGAGCCCUAUUUAUCAUUCUCUUUCUUUUAUUUUUUUUAAAAUUCAUUUUAAUAUAUUUUAUAAAAGUCUAUGCUUGAUUUGUCAACUAAAACUUAGGUGUCAAUAUUGACAUGUGGACAAUUUUUUAAUUUUUAAUUUUUAAUUUUAUUUUUUCUUCACAUGGCCAACAAGACUGCCAGCCCUUGGUAGAGGCGAUGGCGGUUUGGGCAGUGGAGAAAGCCAAGCCCAGGCAGAGCAUAGGUUGAAGCAGGAGGAGUAAAAGAGAAAAAGAUAAAUUUUUUUUUUUUUAAUUUCAAUGUCAAUAUCCAUACAUCAAGAUCUAACUGGAUAUCAAUAAAUAAGUGCACGCCAUAUGAGACGUUGACGUGGCGCUUGCAAAGCGUUGAAUAUUUUUUCUCUCUAUCGCGAGGACUAGGCUUAUGUCGCUAGCGAUUAGACUGCUGCCUCAAAAGUGGAUUGCGCAUCCUUGCGCGUGGACUAAGAGACACCAGCCGCACGGGUGACCGCGUGGGCCGGACCCGAGACCUCGUAGCCAGAUUUACGAACCCUACCGGCAGUCUCUGUCUUUUGAGUCCUUGGCCGAUUCUUCAUCGGUCCAGCUUUUGUCUCUGAGUUCUUCUUUCUGCUUCCCUGGCUCUCUCUCUCUUCCCACUUUCUUCUUCCUCCUCCUUCAAAACGAUAGUCAACGCAGAACCGCCUGGCAGCCACAAUCCUAGAUCUCUCUAUCUUCUCGCCCUCGACACCGUCAGGGCCGGGCGAUCCAUCGUCGUUACGGGUCAGCAUCGUUUAUUUUUGCACUCCUAUGUUUUUCCGGUGAUCCCGACGUCGAUCUCGCCCUCUACACCCUUGCCGCGGCGCGUUCCUUCCUCGUCCAGCAGCAUAUUUAUCUGAAAUCGAAAGCUGAAAACGUUUUCACCAACCAUACGGCCCUGAGACCGCUUGUUUCUUUGAAGCGAGCGAGAGCGAGAGCCAGGGCAUAGGGAAGAGAUCGUCGACUUCACUGCCGAUCGGGGAAGGGCAACCCCCGAUCAGAGGCCGCUCAGCAUCUCCAAGAGUAAAGCCCACUCUGCUUCAGCCUUCAGCCCUUGAUUUUCAUAGCAAGACUCUCUCUCUCUCUCUGUUCCGAAGCUUGGCAUUCUAGAGAAGCACAUAUACCAUCAGCUCUUCUAAUGGCUGCUUCUUCGAAUAUGAAAAGGAAUUAUUACCAUGUGUUCCUCAGUUUCAGAGGAACAGAUGUCCGCCACGGCUUCCUCAGUCAUCUCUACGCCUCUCUGGACCAGAGAGGAAUAUACACUUUUGUGGAUCGCGAGGAGCUUAGGAAAGGAGAGGAAAUAUCGCCGACGCUCAUGAGGGCGAUCGAGCAAUCGCGCGUUGCGAUCAUCAUUUUCUCUGAGGACUACGCCUCCUCACCAUGGUGUUUGGAAGAGCUCUUGAAAAUCAUGGAGUGCAAGGAGCAAAACGGCCUGAUUGUGUUCCCUGUGUUUUACAAAGUGGAACCGAGAGAAGUGAGAAGGGGGAGAGAGAGUUAUAAGAGAGCUAUGGAUAGCCAUGAGUCCAAGUUCGGAAAGGAUUCAGAGAAAGUAAAGAGAUGGAAGAGGGCUCUUCUUGAUGCUGGUAACUUGUCUGGGUGGGACUUCAAUGACAGGUACGCACAAAUGUGACGCAGUGCUUUGCGAUUGUAGCUCGUGAUUGUGUGUUAUAUAUCAAAUCGUAUGUAUAGCUUCGAAUUGCCAAAACGAUGCAUCAAGUUCUUUGAAUUCGCAGUAGACACAAAAGUUGAAAGACCAAAAUUUCAAGCAAGCAGAAAUUUUUGUCUUAGAUAAGUAGUGUGGUUCCUGGGACCCGAGUAAUUAGUGUCUUCAGGCGCAGAUUCUUUGUAAUUUUCCUUCCGCAGAUGUUGGCGCAGGUAUGUGUUAUUUCUUUUCAUCUUAUUAUUUGUUAACCUCCUUAUGAAAUUUUCCUUAUGAUGUUAGACGUUGAAUUCCUGCCAUGGCUUGAAAUGGUAAAAUAUGUUUCUAUUUCUUUUGAGUGCUCACUAGAGAAGAAAGAGAUGAAGCGGAGCUCAUACAACUCAUUGUCAAGGAAUUAUCAAUUUGUCUCAGACCAAGAUCCUUAUCUGUUGCUAACUAUCCAGUUGGUAUAGAAUCCCGAGUUCAAAAACUGAUAAGUUUGUCAGAGUCAGCUGGUAGUGAUGUUUUGAUAAUAGGUCUAUGGGGACCUGGCGGCAUAGGGAAGACCACGAUUGCUAAGGCCCUGUAUAAUGCUAUUCAGACGCAAUUUCGAGGUUCUAGUUUUUUGGCGCAAGUUAGAGAAAAAUCAAACCAAAGCAGCGGUCGUGUUGCUUUGCAAAAGCAACUUCUAUCUGAGAUCUUACCUCAUGAAGAUAUAAUGGUCUACAAUGUCGACGCAGGAAUUAAUUUGAUAAAGGAAAGACUAUGUCGCAAGAAGGUUCUCCUAGUUCUCGAUGAUGUUGAUGACAUGGAUCAACUGAAUGCCUUAGCUGGAAAAGGCGAUUGGUUUGGCAAACAAAGUAGAAUCAUUGUUACAUCAAGAGAUAGACAUUUAUUAACUUCUCAUGACAAAAAUUAUGUGUAUGAAGUUAAAACUUUGGAAGACGAUGAAGCACAAGACCUUUUUGGUCAGCAUGCCUUUAUAAACAGCAAUAAAGUAGAAAUAAGGAGGGAUCUCAUUGAUGGAGCAUUGCAUUAUGCUGGCGGCCUUCCAUUAGCCCUGGAAGUGUUGGGCUCAUUCCUACGUGGAAGAAAGGAACCUGAAUGGGAAAGUACGUUGCAUAAACUCUCUAAAAUUCCUGAAUCAAAAAUCGAUCGAGUUCUCAAGAUAAGCUUUGAUGGAUUGGACGAGAAUGAGAGGGAGAUUUUCCUUGAUAUUGCUUGUUUCUUUAAGGGGAAAAGUAUAAAGGAUAUCCAGGAAGUUCUUGACAGCUGUGAUUUCGACACAACCAUAGGAAUAGAAAUUCUCAUCGAGAGGUCCUUGAUAAAAAAAAAGGGGCCUUACUUGCAAAUGCAUGAUUUGGUUCAGUUGAUGGGUAGGAAUAUUGUUAAACAAGAAUGUCGCAAUGAUCCUGGGAAGCGCAGCAGAUUAUGGCUUUUGGAAGAUGUUGAGGACAUUUUUAAUUAUAAUACGGUAAAAGUUGUUUAUGUCAGUUUUGCUACAUUUCAGUUUAUAUUACUCUAAUUUGGACAGUAUAAUGUAAAUCUUAACUGGAAAUUUUGUCUGACAAAUGAAUUUGCUCCGUUAUGGAUAGGGGACGGAUGUUGUAAAGGCCAUGGUAUUGUGCUUGGCCCCAUCAGAAGCGAUAAUCAUCAGUCCUGAUGCUUUCACAAAUAUGAAAAGGUUGAGAAUACUCAUUUUGCAUGGAGGGCGUAUCUCUUCACAAGCUCAAGUACGUCUCCCUAACGAGCUAAGAUGGCUUGAAUGGUCCAAUGCCCCGAAUCUAGAAUUUGGCUCUGGUCCAAAUAAACUCGUGAGACUCGAUGUCCAGGAAAGUCAUAUCAAACAAUUAAUGGGCAACUUUCAAGUAAGCACUUGCGAUGAUUAGCUUUUCCUUUUUUAUAGCUAUAAAAAAUAUUUGCAGAGCUUAAUGACUGCACUAGUAUGUUUUUGCAGAAUUUUAGAAAGCUGAAGUCCAUCAAUCUCUAUAAAUGCAAGUCCUUGGUUAGUAUUCCUGAUUUGUCAUCGGCCCCAAAUAUGAAGAAAUUGAUUCUUAAUGAGUGUGAGAGCUUGGUGGAGGUUCACCCAUCUGUUGGAAAUCUUGUCAAGCUAGAAGUUUUGUUGCUAGAAUCAUGCUCUAAUGUUAGUAAUUUUCCUAACACACUGAGGAAUAAAUCUCUUAAACUCCUUCAUCUCUCUGGUUGCUCUAAACUUGAGAAGUUCCCAGAUAUUGACGGAAAGAUGGAACAUCUGGAAGAAGUUUAUCUAGCGAGGACAGCUAUUAAAGAACUCCCUGCAUCAAUUCAAAAUUUUGUCUCUAUGAGUGAGUUGUGUUUAGCAUUUUGUGAAGACCUCGUGAGGCUUCCACCGGCCAUUUAUAAGUUGAAAAAUCUCCAUCUUUUGAAUCUUGAUGGCUGCUCGAAUUUAAUCACGUUUCCAAAAAACAUGGAGGAUUCAAUUGAUUCCGAUGGCCUUCUGGGGUUCCGAAGACUAUCCUACCUAGGACUUAAGGGCUGCAAUCUAUCGGAAGUAGAGUUCCUUGAGAGUACUUCCAGUUUUCCCGAAUUGCAGAACCUAAACCUUUCAUAUAACAAGUUUACUCAUUUGCCGACAUGCAUCAACAAGUACAAUCGUUUGAGGCGAUUGAAGGUUAAGGGAUGCGAGCUACUACAAGAGAUUCCUCAGCUUCCACCAAAUAUUAAUAAGCUAUCCGCACCUAAUUGCAAAUCCCUGCAAAAACUCCCAGAUUUGCUGUGGGAUUCGGGUGACUUGACUUCAUGUUUAUUAUUCCGCGAAGGACUCAAUAUGGAUGAUGUGGCUAAUUUCUUAUUACUCGAGGUCUCUCUCUCUCUCUCUCUCUCUCUCUCUCUCUCUCUCUCUCUCUCUCUCUCUCUCUCUCUCUCUCUAUAUAUAUAUAUAUAUAUAUAUAUACUUAAAUGCUUGAUAUGCGUACCCUCUGUGUGGCAGAUGGGCUGCCUUGACGUUAUUAUAAGUGGAAGAGAGAUGCCUAAAUGGAUUCAACCCUGUGAAGAGGAUUCCAUAUCUUUCAUGAUUUUACAAGAAUUGUAUGAUGAGAUUAAAGGACUAGCAUUCUGUGUUGUUGUUAGCCCGGAGGAAGGAGAAGUGGUCAGCGUUUUUUGUUAUUUAACAGUUAAUGGCCAAGAAGGGAUGUCUCGGUUUAAAAAUCUUGGGUCAAUAGAAUCUGACCAUGUGUGGCUUUUUUAUGAACACUGUUUUUGGCUUUCAAGGAAGGAGUUUUUGCAAAAUGAUUGGAGCCAUUUCCAAUUUCGCUUCGAAGUAGGACAGGGAAGCAUAAAGAAGUGUGGAUUCCAUCUGACAUGUUAACAAAAGGAGGAUGAUCUGAGGGUGGUGUUCCCAGCACCACGAGCUAAUGGAAGCAAUGUGAACGUUUUCUGGGAAGACUCAGAAGAAGAUAAUUCAAUAGAACCUAAGGAAGAAACUCCAAUUGAAAUAGAUGCAGAGGAAAGCUCAUCACCUUUAACAAAGAAGAUAAGGUGGUCUUAACUACGGUGAGACUUUGGGUUCAAUGUCUUUGCUUUUCCCUUUUCUGGAUCUCCACUGGAGACUUGCAAGUGUCUGCUCCUUCAAUUAGAAUUCAAGAUCAUUAUAAAAUAGAGGUUUUGCACCAUGCUACUGACAUGAUUGGGGAACAAAUUUUUUUUUUUUUUGCCUCUGAUUCUUUAUGAUUUUUAGUGCAGAGUGCAUUAACCCAAAAGUAAAGAGGAUGCUCGUUGAAAUGGCCAUGGUCUUCCAAGUUGCACCGUGUAAUUUAUUAGAUGGGCCUCUGUCACCUCUCUUAAUCCAAUUCCAAUUAAUGAUGCCGAUACUUCAUAAUUCAAAAUUCUGAGAUAGUAAGUUUUGCUAAAUCUAGUAUAAUCUAUAUCUUUAGGAAAGUGCUGUUUGAAUUGUCUCAAAGAUCAAGAGGUCUAUACAGGGAAAUUUAGGGCCUGUUUGUUUGCAACUUGUUUCUGUUCCCAGGAACAAAAAUUUCUUUUUUUUUUUUGUUCCUGGAAACAAAAAAGGAACAGAAACACGUUUGUUUGCGUUUUGUUCCAAAACUAUUUUUUUUCCCAGAAACAAGAAACAAACAAAAGUUGUUUCUUGUUUAUGAAAAAAAAUUUAGAAACACUUCUCUCUUUUUUCUUUUUCUUUUCUUCUUCUUUUUUCUUUCUUUUUUCUUUGGCCGGUCGCCGGCCUCGGCCAUGGCCGGCGACCGGCCGUCGAGGGUCGGCAACGUCGUCGAGGGCCAGCGACCUCGCCAAAGCGUUGCCGGCCCCCGGCGAGGCCGAGCUCGCGCUGGGCUGGGCGAGCUCAGCUCGCCCAGCCAAGGCAAGGCCGAGCCUCGCCCAAUUACAGCGAGGCUCGGCCGAGCCGGGGGCUGGCGAGCCUCGCCGUGGCUGGGCGAGGCCGCCGGCCCUCGUCAGCCGGUCGCCGGCCAUGGCCAAGGCCGACGACCGGCCAAAAGAAGAAAAAAGAAAAAAGGAAAAAGGAAAAAGAAAAAAAGGAAAAAGAAAUAAAAAAAUAAGAAAGAAAAUAGAAAAAAUAAAAUAAAAAUAUUAAAAAAUUAAAAGAAAUAAAAAAAUUACGCAAAUUUACCAAACGUGUUUCUGUUCAUUUUUUAUUCCCAGAACAAGUUUACCAAACGCGUUUUUUUUGUUCAAAAAUUAUUUCCCGAAACAGAAACACUUUUUUCUAUUUCUGUUUCCUGGAACAAUUUUUAAACAGAAACGUUACCAAACGCACCCUUAGUUGAUUCCCCUGUUGUUACUUGGCAGCUUGCAUUGGAUUGGUAUAAAGGGACAGCUCUAGCGUCUGAGAAACGUUGCAUUUUAGCAAAGGAGAUUGACUUCAAGGAUAUUCAUGUAAAGCAAACGGUAUUUGUCAAACGCCUUCUAAAAUAAGUAUUGCAAAGCAAUUUUUAGAAUGAGAAAAAAAUCAAUUAAAAGGGGAGAAUGAAUGAACUUGUAGGUACAUAUGAAAGCACAAGCAGGUUGCACAACGGUAGGAUCAGUGCCGACCUUGUGCGACCCUAGGCUAUACCCUGCUGAGGUCAACCAAACCUUGGAGACGCGACACCAGUGUCACUUGACCCUAGGCGACGCGACACUAAAUACCAGUGUCCCAUGACCUCAUGUGGCGGAAUGUCAGAGCCCCACGACUAGGCAACGCAAUACUCAACCCUUGACAAGCUAAAUCUGGCAUCAAGCAACCCUCGCAAAGCUUCUUGGAAUCAUGCAACCCUCGACGAAGCUUUGCAGCUGUCCAUCAACCCUCGGCCUCCUUCACGAAGCCUCCUAGCCAUCACCAAUGAUGGCUUUCUCUCUCCUAACCAAGAUUGAGGGGUAAAAAAAUUAUUACAAAUAUAUUAAUGAUGGUAAGAUUGUAAGAAAAAGUAUUUCAUUAGACUUCCAGACUUGCAUUUGGAGAAUACUAAGGUGGAGCUUCAAGUAAUUCAAAGUAGAACUUUUCGCUAAAAAGUCUUUUUGAAUUGUGUUACCAAAUUUCAAAACUUAUAUUAAUAGCUUUUGAAAGCCCAAAAUAGCUUAAUUCAAAAUGACGGAGCACUCAAUUUUUUAAAGGCCAAAUUGGAUAGGACUGAAAUGGAGGGUAAAAUUGGAAUAGUGUACCACUCUCGGCGUCCUUGUGAGUCAAAAAAAUAUUUUGAUAAAUUAUUUAAGGGUGUUAAUUUAAGAUUUCAUGUGAUGUUAAUCCAAAUAAUAUCUAUGUAUUAUUAUUUUUUUCUUUUUUACCUUUUGAAGAGUUGAGUCUAAUUCAUUUGGCAAGUGAAAUGCUAAGUAACAUUUUAAUAAUUUCCACUGAGAAUGUUCGUAAGUUAAGUUGAUACUAGGAUUGCCCUUAUAUUCUUCAUCGGCUUACGCUUAAGUUCAUUCUCUUUCUCACNNNNNNNNNNNNNNNNNNNNNNNNNNNNNNNNNNNNNNNNNNNNNNNNNNNNNNNNNNNNNNNNNNNNNNNNNNNNNNNNNNNNNNNNNNNNNNNNNNNNUCGAGUCAACUCCACCGAAUGGGCAACCAAGACUAAAAUGAUGGGCCGAUUCUCUUGCUGAUCCUCUAGCCAGACUGAAGAAUGGGCCAUCUUCAUACCUCAUAUCUAAAAUAAAUCAACAUUGGGUUAUCGACCUUAUCAAGAUUAGAGAUCAUCUCAUCAAUAAUCAUAAAAUUCGACCCCCAACUCCUCUCAAUUAAAGAUAAUGCGAUAGCUACUUACUACUAGAACCGAUGUUAGGAGAUCACUUGACCAAUUGAGAGCCGUCGAAUUCAACAUUUGAAUUAAAAACCACAAACAGCGAAAAAAAAAAUCCUUUUCACAACACUUUCUAAAGUCUAUUUGAGGAAACUAUGAGAAAAUGAUAUCUGACUACUGCUGAAAAACCUCUUUGAAAUUUAUUGUUGGGAAAUAUCUUGGCCAAAAAAAUCCUUCUUAUAUUAAUUAAUCUCCAUUUACUUGUAAAUUUUUAAUUGAAGAAAAAUGUCAAAAGUAGAGUGAUCUUGAUCUCAAAUCUUGCAUGAGCGAUAGCCACAUGGACGACUUCAAGCAUCCUCAAUUAUGUCAGGAUGGACCAAGAUUAUGCAUUCUCUAGUAGUUAACUUUAGUAUGUUAAAAUGCCUUUUUAUCUACAGGGUUUUCAUAUAUAUGCAUUCUCUAUCAGUCACUGUUUUUUUGUUUUUGGGUUAGACAUUUUAACAUGCUCACAGAGUCAAGUUCUAAACCAGUUUUUUUUUUUUGGCACUCGUCAUUCGUUAAUUCCACAUGUCAUUAUCACAUUAGCUUUACACGCUAAGAAGCUUAUUACAGAAUUACCACAUCACUUGUCUACGCAAUUUAUACGAGCCCUCCCUAUGGAUUGCAGCCAACAAAAAAAUAUAUAAUUUACUCCUUCAAGUGAAUGAUUACAAAAUACCAAUUGCUAAAAUUAAAAUGUCGAAGUUUGCUAUACGCAUCUUAAUUUUUUAAAUAAUGAGUGAUUGACUUACCUUUUAUAAAAUGAAAGUGAUGCAUUGGUACAUGUAAAAGAAAAAAGGUUUAAGCCAACUACAAAAGUGAGAUGAAAAAGUAUAUCAAAAUAAAAUAUUGUUCAAGUUUUUCUUUUUAGUUUAAAGUCCAAGUCUAGGUGGCAAGUAUGCAAAGAUUGAUAGGGUUUCAUUCUUUUAAACCCAUAGUCCAAGAGGUACUUUGAGUAGUUAAAUGAUCAAUUCAUACAAUCAAUUUAGUGUUUAGUUACGAAGUCACCGAUUACAAAAACUCUAAGGGGUCAUAACCAUUUUUGGCUUAUUGAUGAAGUCUUGUUGCUCAUGGAUAAGAUAAAUUAGUAUACAUUAGUAAGAUUUGGUCAGGUGAAGAUUUGUGAUCACUAAUGAAAAAAAAAAUCAUACCAUGGAAAUAAUCUUAUUUAUUGUAAAAAAAAAAAAAAAUCCUCGAUGGGGGAGAUGGUUCGGGUCGGCCCAACCUUCAACAGCGAGUGGCCAGCACAUGUGAACAAAUGGGUUGGAAAAAAGAAAAAAGAAAAAACUGCGAACAAAAGCUGCAGUGCAAAUCCUACAUGUUGUUGACUAAACUCGAGGAAUGUAAAAAAUGUACUGGAUCCCACUUUUUUAACAACAAUUUUACAUCACGAUUAUGAAGAUUUGUGAUAUAAUAUAUAUAUAUAUAUAUAUAUAUAUAUAUUAUAUAGUAUUAAGACGUUUUUGUAUUUAAUUGCAAUGACACAUAAUAAUCUUAUAUAAUAUAUUCGAAGUAUCGUAGAAGUGCUCCUAACAUAUAAAUUUAUCAUCGAAGGAAAAUAAAAAAGUGACAUUCACACUUUUUAUAUAUGGCAACAUGCCAAUUGGAAAAAAAAGUUUUCCAAUUUACAAUAAAGACCAAUUAGAUAAUGCACAAAUAUUCAGGUAAAACUUAAACACGAAUGUUGCGCACAAUAUCAAGCUUAAACUUGCCCAUACCCAAUUGAUAGUCUCAAGAGCCUAUUCAGGCUUAACUUACUUUUUUGUCAAUUAUUUAAUAUAGUCAAAUUGAGUGAAGUCAAAUUUGAAUGGUCCAAUUUUCUUUUUCAAGUUGAGUUUGAACAAGAACUUUAAUACGUGAUUGAGUUCAAGUGAAGGUUCAAAUAUCGAGUAUGUUGUAAUAGCUCAACUCAAUUUGGAUUAUGUCUCCACAUUGAGGGCUAGACCUAGGACCCUAACACUUGGACUAGAGACAUCAGCAAAACAAGUUAUAGCAUGGGCCGCCUAAGACCCUACCAUAGACUUGGGACCUUGGCCCUGGACUUGAGUUGUGAAUUAUGGAACUAUAACGUGCUAUCAUCAAUUUGUAUUUAUAUAUCGCAUAACAACUCCAUAUUACAAAAUACUUGACGAUGUUGUACAAAAAAGAUCAUUAAGUCUGCCACAACGCAAGAUAUUAAUAGAGUACCGAGCAAUAAGUACAGAAACAAUCUCUCGCAACAUAUUUACUCUCAAAACUUACCAAGGGAAACUCUAAGGGUGCGUUUGUUUGUAUUUAUGUUCAAAAAUUGUUCCAGGGAACAGAAAUAGAAAAAACUAUUUCUGUUCCCUGGAACAAUUUUUUAUUAGAAUAACGCGUUUGGUAAACUUGUUCUGGAAAUAAAAAAAAGAACCGAAACACGUUUGAUAAAUUUAUGUUCUUUCUUUUUUGUUUUUUUUUAAAUAUUUUUAUUUUAUAUUUCCUUUUUUUCUUUCUUUUUUCUUUUUUUUUCUUCUUUUGGCUGGCGGCCUCGCCCAGCCAUGGUGAGGCUUGCCGACCCCUGGCGAGGCCGACCUCGCCCAACCACCGGGUCGCCUAGCGAUGGCCCGGCGAGGCCGANNNNNNNNNNNNNNNNNNNNNNNNNNNNNNNNNNNNNNNNNNNNNNNNNNNNNNNNNNNNNNNNNNNNNNNNNNNNNNNNNNNNNNNNNNNNNNNNNNNNGGUAGAACAAGUUUUUUUUGUUUUUUGUUUCUAUUCCAAAUGUGUUCCCAGGAACAAAAAAAACAAAUUUGGAACAAAAACGCAAAUAAACGUGUUUAUGUUCUUUUUUUGUUCUCAGGAAAAAAAAAACAAAAUUUUUGUUCAUAAACAGAAAAAAAGAACACGACCAUGCACGUCCUAAAACACUCUCAAGGUAGAACCACACGAACUCCAUCUUCAGAUCGAUCUUCACUCCAAGCUUCAAGCCAAGUCAAACUCGUGCUCUGGUUUGGCCACAACCCAUGACGUCAAAAUGACAUGUCCGAUUACUCGAUCUCUUCCUAUAAAUUUUCGAUCGGAAAAAAAUUCAUUAGGUUAUGGAAAAUGUGCACUAUGGUUUUCGGUUAGUGGCUUUGAAAGUGCCUUUCCCCGGUUCCCGUACGAAAGAAGGAAAAUAAAAAAAACGAACUCGCUGCUCUCCCUGAUGGUGCGAGCGUCUUGGCUCACCGAUGGCACAAGUGUAAUUGCACGAGUGCCUAGCUCAGUCGACUCAGGAUUUCAGCCUCUCGAGUCGGCCCCAUCCCCCGAGACGAAUCACGGCCGUCGAUCAUACCCGGGCCGUGUGUCGGCACACAGUGACCCGACACACGUGCGGAGUCUCAUUUUACGUGCUUUCCCUCCCACCAGCCAACGACCCAUCCCUCUCUCCGUUGGUUGCGGAGAGAGCAGAGUGAUUUAUAAUGCUUCAGAGCGGUUUUCUGGCUCUUAUCUCAAAUAAGCAUGUCUGAUUCGGCUACCGAUAUAACUAAUUAUUCUCAUAUAAAAUGAUUAUCAUUUACGCCCUUACUCAAUUCUCACGUGAUAUUGACUGAACCGGUGCAUCUCGUUUUAUUCUAAGGCCAAUCUCGAUUGAACCGGCGGUUUUUUACAAACGUCAAGUGGGUCCCGCUUCUUUGCUUCCCGCAUUUUGCCAGCAUAAUCUCUGUCCCUCUCUCUCCACUCUCCCCUCGCCGCCAGUCCUCGAAGCGCUCCAUCAUCAUCCUCGCCGGCGCUUGCUUCGCCAUCCCCGCGAUCUCCUCCGCCUCGCGGCUUAUCGGAAUCACCUUGGGCUAUUCUUGCCAUUUUAACCUUUUUUAAUGUCGCGAAUAAGCAAACGGAAGCAUGGGAAAUAGCCCAAAACCCAGGAAGGAAACGCCCCUGAGAAUGUCUGCCUCCUGCACAGCAUCUUCAUCCUCCCUCAGAAUCUGCUCUAUCCGGUAAGUUCCUCCUUUUUCUCUGUUUUCCCUCGAUUCCUUCAUGCCCUAUACGAUUAUACUCCUUCGGAUUGAGANNNNNNNNNNNNNNNNNNNNNNNNNNNNNNNNNNNNNNNNNNNNNNNNNNNNNNNNNNNNNNNNNNNNNNNNNNNNNNNNNNNNNNNNNNNNNNNNNNNNNNNNNNNNNNNNNNNNNNNNNNNNNNNNNNNNNNNNNNNNNNNNNNNNNNNNNNNNNNNNNNNNNNNNNNNNNNNNNNNNNNNNNNNNNNNNNNNNNNNNNNNNNNNNNNNNNNNNNNNNNNNNNNNNNNNNNNNNNNNNNNNNNNNNNNNNNNNNNNNNNNNNNNNNNNNNNNNNNNNNNNNNNNNNNNNNNNNNNNNNNNNNNNNNNNNNNNNNNNNNNNNNNNNNNNNNNNNNNNNNNNNNNNNNNNNNNNNNNNNNNNNNNNNNNNNNNNNNNNNNNNNNNNNNNNNNNNNNNNNNNNNNNNNNNNNNNNNNNNNNNNNNNNNNNNNNNNNNNNNNNNNNNNNNNNNNNNNNNNNNNNNNNNNNNNNNNNNNNNNNNNNNNNNNNNNNNNNNNNNNNNNNNNNNNNNNNNNNNNNNNNNNNNNNNNNNNNNNNNNNNNNNNNNNNNNNNNNNNNNNNNNNNNNNNNNNNNNNNNNNNNNNNNNNNNNNNNNNNNNNNNNNNNNNNNNNNNNNNNNNNNNNNNNNNNNNNNNNNNNNNNUCCCGCCUUCCCGCUCUUGUUGAAUCUCCAUUUUCCCAUCCCUGGGCCAUGGCCCCCCACCAUACCCUUAUCUCGAAUAUAAUGUCCCGUCCCAUUUCCAAAUUUUUACUAAAAAGGAAAUUGAGCACAAUAAAAAUAAAAAGGGAAAAUGACACCGCGAUCUCUGAAAUUUAGCACAAGAAGGAAUGUCAUUCUUGAACCUUCAAUUUAUUCAAUAUAGUCCAUAAAAUUCAUAUCCAACCUAAUUUUUAGACUAUACAAAAAUAUUCAAGACUGUCAUUGAGUUUAAAUUAUUGAACUGGCGGUUUUUUACAAACGUCAAGUGGGUCCUGCUUCUUUGCUUCCCACAUUUCGCCAGCAUAAUCUGUGUCCCUCUUUCUCCACUCUCUCCUCGUUGCCAGUCCUCGAAGCGCUCCAUCAUCAUCGUUGCUAGUGCUAAUCUCAAGAUUUUGGACUCUGGAACCUAUCACGUCCUCUAUUUUUCUGAUCUGAUUCGAGGGUUCACUCGAGAAUCGGUUUUAUCUUCUUCUUUUUUUUUUCUUUUUUUAACUGCAAAAUCAUAUGAGAUUAUGAGUAACGAAAUGAUUCAAAGUAAAAGAUAAAUAACAAUAAUCCUAAUCUACAAAAAACAACAAUCUAAAUACGUAGUCAAGUAAAAUUAUAAACGAUAAAAAAGUUCAAACGAGUAAUAUAAAACAUUAAUUCCCCACAUAAAAGUUAAAGGAAAAUGAAAGACUAGCAAGAAGUUUAAAAAAAGGACAAAAGACGAAAGAAUGCUAAGGUUAAAAUUUAGGGGAAAAAACAAUUAGAAUUUAAGCUUUUUAACUUAUAAAAUAGAUUCCAAAGUAGAGUGGAAUCGGUAGAUCUUUACUUGAAACCUAUUCCUAGAACUAUUUCAAGGAGAAUCGAUCCUCAGACAUAUUUUUUCGAAAGUUGGAUCCAAUUUCUAAGUAGAAUCGGUUUAGUUGCACACCUCUAAUAACAACAUUAAGUAUUUUCGUAUAGUAUAGGAACUAACUUGAAUAUGUACUAAAAUUUUAAGGAUCAUAUUAAAUAAAUUAAAAGUUCAAGGACUGCAUUAUAAAUUAAGUCAAAAUUCAAAGACUAUUUAUGUCAUUAUCCAAAAUUGAUAUCAAUAUCCAUUUAGAAAUUUUAAAAUAGCAAUUUGCUUUUAAGUUAGCAAAUUUUUUUAAUAUUAUCAAAGCACUAUUAAUAACCCGAAAGUCCGCCACCACAGAAACAUUAUCGCUAUCUCCCCCUCUCUUAAAGUCUCAAAGCUCAAAAGGAUAAAAAAAUAUGAACAGCGCUCAGAGCUUCUCACUCGAUAAACCCUCGCGGCAGCUUUCGUCUUCCGAGUCCUUGGCCGAUUCAUCAUCGUUCCAGAUUCGUCGGUCGAUCACGUUGGUCUCGCCCUCCAAACCCUGAGAGCGCUUGUUUUUUUGAAGCGAGCGAGAGCCAGAGCCGGGGCAUAGGGAAGAGAUCCUCGACUUCACUGCUGAUCGGGGAAGGGCAACCCCGGGUCAGAGGCCACCCAGCAUCUCCGAGAGCAAAGCCGACUCUGCUUCUGCUUUAAGCCCUUGAUUUUCUUAGCAAGAAUCUUUCUCUCUCUCUCUCUCUCUCUCUCUCUCUCUCUCUCUCUCUCUCUCUCUCUCUCUCUCUCUGUAUCUGUGAAUAUAUAUAACUAUGCACGUGUCACAACUUUUUAAUUGAAUGGUUUGUGUGAGGGGACUUUUAAAUUUGUGUGUCUCACAGAGGCACAGACAGACAGGCAUACACUCACUUGUAGUUGAAGAUUUAUAUAUGUCACAAGCUAGAAUAUAUGUAUUUAUAAAGGAUAUAUAUUUUGUGGAUAGCGAGGAGCUUAGGAAAGGAGAGGAAAUAUCGUUGGCGCUCAUGAGGGCGAUUGAGGAAUCGCACGUUGCGAUCAUCGUUUUCUCUGAGCACUACGCUUCCUCACGGUGGUGUUUGGAAGAGCUCUUGAAAAUCAUGGAGUGCAAGGAGAAAAAUGGCCUGAAGGUGUUCCCUGUGUUUUACAAAGUGGAACCCAGAGAAGUGAGAGAGGGGAGAGAGAGUUAUAAGAGAGCUAUGGAUAACCAUGAGUCCAAGUUCGGGAAGGAUUCAGAGGAAGUGAAGAGAUGGAAGAAGGCUCUCUCUGAAGCCGGUAGCUUGUCUGGGUGGGAGUUGAAUGACAGGUACGCACAAAUGUGACAAUGGUGUUUUGUGAUUAUUAGCUCGUGAUUGUCUGUGAGAUAUCAGAUCAUAUGCACUUUUUUGGAUCUUCGAUUGAAGAUACAAAGUGGAGAUAAAUUAGAUAGUAGACACAUGAUCAAAUAACCAAAGCUCGUAGAUUCUUUGAAUUGAUUCUUGCUGUGUGGAUAAUGAGAAAUUUAUCAAACAUAAAUAGUGCGAUUCAUAGUGCCUUAGUCAUUAUUGUCUUCAGAUUCAAGUUCUUUGUAAUUUUCCUCGCGUAGAUGUUGACGCAGGUUCACCCACUUUUCAUCUUAUUAUUUACUAUUCUUCUUAAGAAAUUUUCCUUAUCACGUCAGAGGUUGAAUUCCUGCUAUGGCUUUGAAAUGCUAAAACGGGUUUUUCUUUCUUUUGAGUGCUUAUUAGAGAUGAAGCAGAUCUCAUACAAUGCAUCGUGAAGGAAUUAUCGAUUUGUCUCAACCAAACACCCUUACAUGUCGCUAAGUAUCCGGUUGGAAUAGAUUCCCGAGUUCAAAAACUGAUAUGUUUGUCACAGAAAGAGUCGGCUGAUGAUGAUGUUCUGAUGAUAGGUCUAUGGAGACCUGGAGGCAUAGGGAAGACAGCAAUUGCCAAGGCCCUAUAUAAUGCUAUGAUGAGACAAUUUCAGGUUUGUAGUUUUUUGGAGCAAGUUAGAGAAAAAUCACACCAAAGCGGUGGUCUUGUUUCUUUACAAAAGGAUCUUCUAUCUGAGAUCCUGGUUCAUCCUUUAACGGUCUACAGUGUCGCUGGAGGAAUUAGUUUGAUACAAGAAAGACUAUGUUGCAAGAAGGUUCUCCUGGUUCUUGAUGAUGUUGACCAUAUGAAUCAACUGAAUGCAUUAGCUGGAAAAGGCAAUUGGUUUGGAAAAGGAAGUAUAAUCAUUGUUACAACAAGAAAUAAACAAUUGCUGACUUCUCAUGGCAUAAAUCGUGUGCAUAGAAUUCAAACUUUAGGAUGUUGUGAAGCACGAGACCUUUUUUGUCUGCAUGCUUUCCCAGAUAGCAAGAGUGUUGAAAUAGGAGUGGAUCUCAUAGAUAGAGCACUGCGUUAUUGUGACGGCCUUCCGUUAGCCCUCGAAGUCUUGGGCUCAUUCUUAUGUGGAAGAAACGAAGCUGCAUGGGAAAGUGCAUUGCAUAAACUUUCCAAAAGUCCUGGCCAAAUUAUUAAUCAAGUUCUCAAGACAAGCUUUGAUGGAUUGGAGAACAAUGAGAGGGAGAUUUUCCUCGAUAUUGCUUGUUUCUUUAAAGGAAAGGGAGUAGAAUACAUCAAGGAAGUUCUUGAUGACUCUGGUUUUAACACAACCAUAGGAAUAGAAAUUCUCAUCGAGAGGUCCUUGAUAAAAAAAUGAGUAUGGAACCCUGCAAAUGCAUGAUUUGAUUCAGUUGAUGGGUAAGGAUAUUGUUAAUGAGGAAUGGCCCGAUGAUCCUGGGAAAUGCAGCAGAUUAUGGCUUUUCGAAGAUGUUGAGGAAGUUCUCUAUGAAGAUACAGUAAAAGUUGUUCAUGUCCAUUUUGCAACAUCUCAGUUUUUUACUUUGCUCUGAUUUGGAUUGUAAUAUGUAAAUUUCGAUCGAAAAUUUUGUCUGACGAUUGAAUUUGCUCUGUUAUGGAUAGGUAAUGGAUGCAGUAAAGGCCAUAGUAUUGAACUUGGCCACACCAAAAGAGAUGACCAUUAGUCCUUGUGCUUUCAAAAAAAUGAAAAGGUUGAGAAUGCUCAUCUUGCACAAAGUGCAUAUCUCUUCACAAGGUCCUGUACGCCUCCCUAAUGCGCUCAGAUGGCUUGAAUGGCCCAAUGCCCUGCAUCUAGAAUUUGGCCCUGGUUCAAAGAAACUGGCAAGGCUCCGUUUUCAGAACAGUCAUAUCAAACAAUUAGUAGGCAACUGUCAGGUGAGUCCUUAUGAUGAUCAGCUUUCCCUUUUCAAAGCUAUGAAAAUAUUUCAGAGCUUAAUGACUGCACCAGUAUGUUUUUGCAGAAUUUUAUAUGUUUGAAGUCCAUCGAGUUCCGGGAUUGCAAGUCCCUGGCUAGUAUUCCUGAUAUUUCACCGGCUCCACUUCUGGAGAGCUUAGAUCUUUUCAGUUGCAAAAGCUUGGUAGAGGUUCACCAAUCUGUUGGAGAUCUUGACAAGUUGAAAUAUUUGAAUAUAUCAAGUUGCUCCAAUCUUCGGAUCUUUCCAAACACACUCAAGACAAAGUCUCUUCAAUGGCUUGAUUUCUCUGGUUGCUCUAAACUUGAGAAAUGCCCAGAUAUUCUGGAAAAGAUGGAACACCUAAUAUAUUUUUUUCUAAAAGGGACGGCUAUUAAAGAACUCCCUGCAUCAAUUGAAAAUCUUGUCUCUAUAGAGCAGAUAGAUUUAGGUUGUUGCAAUAACCUCACAAGGCUUCCGUCGAGCAUUCAUAAGUUGAAAAAUCUCAAGUCUCUGGUAGUUAGCUACUGCUCAAAUUUUGUCAUGUUUCCAAAGAACUUGGAGGAUUCAAUUGAUCCUGAUGACGAUUUGGGAUUCCCAAGUUUAAGGUGGCUAGACCUCUCUCACUGCAAUCUAUCAAAAGCAGAGUUUCUUGAGAAUGCUUCCAGUUGUCCUAUAUUGACGUGCUUAAAUCUUACAAAUAACAAAUUUACUCAUCUUCCUACAUGCAUCAACAAGUAUAAUUAUUGGAAAGACUUGUUUGUUUAUAGCUGCAAGCAAAGCAAAGGGGUCAGUGUGGCUGAUGCGUCAUCACCCAAGGUCUCUCUCUAUCUCUCUCUCUCUCUCUCUCUCUCUCUCUCUCAUUUUGAAUGUUUGAUACGUGUACAUCUGUAUGACAGGAAGUUGAGAUUCUUGUAAAUGGAAGAGAGAUGCCUGAAUGGAUUCUCCAUUGUAAAGAGGACACCAUAUCUUUCAUGGUUCCCCCAGACUUAUGUGACAAGAUCUUGGGACUAGCAAUCUGUGUUAUUCUUCGCCAGAAUAAGAAAGGCUCGUUCAAUGAUUCGUCCUGUUCAUUUGACAUCAGCUUGUUUGUAAAUGGCAUAAGAUCGUAUUACCGUUUGAUAUUUUUUGAUCCAUUGGAAUCCGAUCAUGUGAGUCUUGUUUAUUUCCCAAGCAACAGAAAGAUGGAAGAGAAGCCUCUGCAAACGAUGGAGCCAUAUCAAGUUUGUGUCAGGGCACCGGAAGGAACCAUAAAGAAGCGUGGAUUCCGUCUAAUAUGUGAGCAACAGGAGGAUGAUCUGAGGGUCUGUUUUCCAACACCAUCGGCGGAUGGAAACAGAAUGGAGUUUCAAGGAAAGAUACUCGAAGGAAGACAAUUAUCAAUAGACACCGAGGACGAAAAUAGUCCACUGGAACAGAACUCAACAAAGAAGAUGAGACGGUCUUAGCAAUGGCGAGAGUAUGGUUUGAACUCGCACCACCUGUUGAGGUAGUGAUUCUUGGGGAUGCGAACCGGUGAUCUUGAUUUCAAUGCCUCUUGCUUUUCCCUUUUUUUCUCGUCUCUACUAAAAAUUUGCAAUUGUCUGCUCCUUCAAUUAGUCGCAUAGUGCUACUGACAUGGUUGAGGAACUUUUCAUUUC
rnacentral:lncRNA from 1 species